CAGCUUACCUGGAGACUAUGGAUUCGACCCACUUGGUCUUUCAGACCCAGAAGGUACUGGAGGAUUCAUUGAGCCGAGAUGGCUAGCAUACGGAGAGAUCAUCAACGUACUGGCGGAUCCCGUCAACAACAACGUCUUGACCAGCCUCAAGUUCCACUGAGAUGAUCAUCCAUCUCAUGUGUUUUAUGUCUCUUUGUAUCCUAAAAUCUUUCUAUAUCUUGCUACCAUUGGCUUCUUCGUAUUGUAACACCCUGUGUAAACAUAUUCGUGUUUUGUAAGAAAUGACAAUGUCAAUGGCCAAAAGAAAAAACUUUUAGGAUUAAUAUUAUCUCUUGGCAAAAAUAUAAUUAAUUAUUUGGAAAAAAAAUUAAUUGGAAAAAAUUGAAUUAAUUAUUUUAAGGUAUGUACUUUAGGUUUCAAUUUUAAAGAUUUUUAAAAUGAUUUUUGAAUUUUGUAAAAGAAAAGUUAAAAAAAAAAAGGAAAUAUAAACAAAUAUAACCAAAUAUCUAUAAAAGACAUAAAUAUUUAAUUAUAAUAUUAAUAAUUACAAAAAUAAUAACAAAGUUAUAAUUUUAAAGAGUUUAGGGUAUAGAGUUUAGGGUUUAGGGUAUGAAAUGUAUGGUUUAGGUUUUUGGAUUAUAUUUGUUUGAAAUAGUAAUAAUAUUAAUUAUAACAAAUAAUAACAUAAAUAAAAUUCAUUUUUAAAAAUAGUUUAGGGUUUAGGGUUUAGGGUUUAGGGUUUAGGGUUUAGGGUUUAGGGUUCAAUGUUUUAAAUAGUAGUUAAUAUUAAUGAUAUAAAGUAUACUAUUAUAACAUAAAUGAAUUCUAUCAUUUUAUUAAUUAUAACAUCAUUAAUGUGUUUCAACAAUAUGAUUUACACAAUAAGAAGAUUAGUGUACAUGUAUUCUAAGGCAAUCAUAUCUGUUACCUUCAAAUUUCUGAAAACGUUGCAAAAUAUUUUUUUUAAAUUGCGAAAAAAUUAUCUAAUCAUGUAAAUAACUCAUAAACAUAUUAAUUCAUCAAUAUAUAAUUUUUUAAAAUUAUAUAAAUAGUAAAAACACAUUUUUAUGCCUAUAGACAAAAUAAGCCAAUCAUAAUGUUUCACUCGGAUUGCUGAUGUGGCGAGAUCUCAGCCAUUCAUCGGAUCUAAUACUUGAUCAAUUUACUCAAUCCAAUCAUAAUGUUUCACUCGGAUACACGACGUGGCAACAUCUCAACCUUUCAAAGGCUUUGGCGGCUGCAUGUUUAAGGUAAUCUCAUCCGUUCAUCGCUCAACAAAGGCUUUGGCGAGAUUUUUUUUUUUUUUUUUUUUUUGGGCUAAAGGCGAGAUUCUCUUCAACCUUUCAUCCUUUCCUGACAUCGACUGAGACAAAAUUCACAAGAAAAUUAAUUCAGAUUAGGUCUUCUCUUUGGGCUAAAGGCGAGAUUCUUCACUGCAAGAAUCGCAUCCUCUACCGAGCUGAUGAAACCAUUAGCUUCUUCUUCUCUCUGUUUCUGCAAAUCAGACUCUUCCUCCAAGCUUCGCCUUUUGUUGUGUUUCUAUCCAAUUUUGACAGAUUUUGAUUGGGAAGAAUCAUUCCGAGCCAUGUCUCCGGCUAAAGGUACGAUUUUGAAUCAUUACUUGAGCAAGAUGAUUUUGAAUCCUUUAACUAGACUUCAGUUUGAUGGAAACAGUAUUUACUGGCUUCGAUUAAAGUUUUCUAAUCAAUGGUUGUGGUGGUGGUGUGUGUUUGAGAUCACCAUGGAUCUGCAAGAACGCAUCUUGUAGAGCUAAUGUGAAUAAAGAUGAUUCCUUUUGCAAGAGAUGUUCUUGUUGUGUUUGUCAUAAUUUCGAUGAAAACUAAGACCCUAGUCUUUGGUUAGUUUGUGAGCCUGAGAAAUCAGAUGAUGUUGAGUUAUGUGGCUUAUCUUGUCACUUGAAUGUGCUUUUAGAGAAAACAAAGUUGGUGUUACGAGUCUUGGUAAUUUCAUGAAGCUUGAUGGAUGUUUUUGUUGUUACUCUUGUGCAAAGUUUCUCAAAUUCUUGGGUAUAGUUUCUUCUUUUAUGCCAAAGUUCUGAUCUAUCUGUAAUUAGCUUUGUAUAACUCAAUGUGUGUGUGUAUUGAUGAAGGUUGGAAAAAGCAGCUUGUGGCAGCAAAAGAAGCAAGGCGGCGAGAUGUAUUUGUGUUAUAGGAUUGAUUUGAGUUAUAGACUACUCAAUGGGACUGUUAGGUUUCCGUGAAUUACCACGGAAAAUGAUGUGAGACAGAGGAGGAAGAUGAAGAUAGGAGACAGGGGCAGAUGAAGAGGCAUUCUAUGUAGAGGAGAUGUAUUGGUCUUGUAUUUUUAAUUGAUGUAGUAUUUUUAUAAAAGUUUUUGUAUAUUAUUUCAUGUAAUAAUGAUAAUAAAAUAUUGUAUUUUUUAUUUUUGAUAUGUAAUUUUAAUCCAAAAAUCACAAUAAAGAUGAUUUAAAUACAAUUAAAAUAAUUAACAAAAAUAUAAAUAUUAUAAAAAAUAUAAAUUAUUGAAAUAAUUAAUCAAAUAAAUAUUGUAGAAAAAUCAAAUCAUGAAAAUAGGUACAACCCAAUCAUAACAAUUAUUACACGUUAUUAUAAAUAUUAAUAAUAGCAGUGUCAUAACCGCUAUCGUAGUUCAAUUAACUAUAGUACAACGAAAAACCGCUAUCAAAAGUGUCCGACUUUCUAUAACGGACGAUGUCAGAGCGCUUAAGGAAACGCUAUGGUAGAUGAAUAAUUGCGUUUUUCGGCCGCUAUUAAUACCCAUAUUUCCUGUAGUGAGAAGAUCCUUGCUCAAUACAUUUAUUAUAAAUCAUAUCAAAUGUUAAAAAAAAAACAUACGUAAAUUUAAAAAAACUAUAAUGCUUGUUGAGAUUCUCCACCAAAACUUCUCAAGGCAAUACUCACUGUCCACAUAAAAAGAAUUGAAUCAAAUAUUUUGACUGAAUUGUAUCACAUUGAAUUUAAAAGAUAACCCAAACCUUAGAAUAAUUAGGGAGCAAAAGCUCCAUCAUUUUUUUCAGUGGAUCAGGAGGAUACAAGUCUUCUUCGUCAUAAUAUGGCUUGUUGAGAUCGAAAUUACGACUGGUGCUAGAAAUUGUCUUGUUGAUAGAUUGAAGAUUUUCUGAUUUGUUUUCUUUUUGUAACAGCUCUUCCUUGAGAUGAAGCUCUUCUUCGUCAUAAGACCCUCUUCCCUUAGCUCUGCCACCAUCUUUGAUUUUAAGGUAUAAAUUCUGUACAUGUUAAUCCUCUAGAGUUUUGGUUUUGUUACAAUUAUUUCUUCUCCAUGAUUCGUUUUGUUGUAUUCAUUCAUUGAAUAGAAUAUAAUUAUUGUUGAUCCGUGUAAAGCUGCUAAUCUGACCUACUUGUUUGAUAUAAUAUGAUAUAAGAGUUGUGGAUGUCGGAUUCACACAUUCAAGUAUUUUAUUAAGUAGGAAAGAUUAUUCUUGAGGGACAAAAAUGAAUAUGUAAAAACUUCUAAAUUGCUACGAAAAUUGCUAUAGUAUUUCUUUCUUUAGAGGAAGAUCCCCUUUACAUGGCCAUUGGCCUUUAUAUUUAUACAUAGAGAAACGACAUUAAAAUGAAUAAUUAAGUACAAUUAUUCCUUCUUAAAUGUGUCCGUUUUGAUUCUUCGACUUUAAUGCUCAACGUUUGAAUUUGAGUUGACUCUGAUCUUCAUGGGCCUCGCCUUUUUGGCCCAAGUAUCCUUGAACCGACUUACCCGUGUCUUCUACACCGAACUCGUGUCAUAGUGCAGUCACUUCGGAUUCUCAAAGUGGUGACAACCACUUCGACCGUUCCUUCGGCUCAUGGGUUCAAUGGGCUUUAUCCUUUAUGGGCCAUUAUCUUGACUACGUGGCAAUCUUUGGUUGGUCUCGAACUUCUGGUGCGGGAUCCGACACCAACAAUUAGCCCCCCAAGUUCUUCGAAGUGUCAUUCCAAUUCGGAGGACUUUAAAUGCUUUAAAUGACCAAAGAUUGCGCUCGAGAAUCUUUCUGAUUUCCCGCCGAAAAUCUCAUCACUCCUUUAAUUUCGGCACUAGCCAUUUUUACCCGAUUGACAUCUGUCAUCAUUAUGACCGUAUAUUAAUUAAUUACUAUUAAAAUGGGAAAAAACCUUUCCACUUCCCACACAACUUCCAAGGCGGCUUCAUCAUUAGUUUGUGUGAGGUAACUUCUUUUCACCAUUACUUCCUUCUUUUGCUUUUGUGCUUUAAUCAAAACUUCUCUCUACUUUUCUUCACCGAACCUCUCUUCGCCGGAUCUUGAAUUUUUCAUUUUUAUCCGAUGUCUUCUGAUUCUGAAAGACCUGAAUCUCCGUCUUAUGAUGAGAGGCGUUCUAGUAAUGACGAAUGCACUCGUCCUAACGAUAUCGCCGGUCCUCAUUACAAAUCCACCUGUACUCUUCAAUCCCUUGAGCGAUUAAAGGGGCUUUGUCAAAUCCCUCCUGGAAUUAUAGCGGAGGCGCAAAUAGCCGAUCCUACGGAAUCCCCGGAGAACCACCGUGUCGGCUACUUUUGUGUUUACGAAAUUUACUUCAAGGGCUGCGGAUUGACCUUCCCCCUUCCCGAAGCCCUAGUUCGAUUCUUGGCGGCUCUCGAGAUUGCUUUACCUCAAUUAACCCCCAAUCUCCUCCGAACCAUCCUCGGGAUUAUAACCAUUGCGGCGGAGGCUGGCUACGUCAUUGGAGUCCCCGAGCUGAAUGAACUUCUAAGUGUGAGAAGUUUGUCAAAGAAAACACGAUACUUCUCGGCAUACCCAAAUGCCAACAGAAACGUCAUCUCGCACCUCCCGAACAAGGAUGAAAACUGGCACCAUCCUUGGUUUCUGAUUAAGAAAACUCCUGCUUCGAUUGGGAAUCUUUCCGAUGUACUCCCAUCGAAGUGGUCUACGAAACCUGGUAGAGACUAGGUCGUAUAUUCCUUUCCUGUUCAUUAUUAUUUCUUUACUGACCAAAUUCGUUGUUUCAUUUCGCAGCUCUUGUCGCUUCAACUCUCCCGACCGAAGAAUUUGUCAACUUCUUCAAAACAAUCCUUGAAGGGGAAACCUUUUGGAAUUCUUUCACCCUCGAUCGGUUUGUCGAGGCCAACCGAAAACUCAGGAUGAGUCCUCCCAAUCUACUUCAUCGUCUUCCGCCUCCUCCCUCAACUCAGGGAAUGUCAGCUCGGGCCCUUACUGCCCAGCAUAAGAAGCUCUCCAAGCCGAUAGCAGAGGCUUGUGAUGAAAACAAGGCGUUCCUUGCGGCCGCCAUUGACAAAAAAGAUUACAGCAGGACCCUGCUGGUUGAUGAUAACAGCUCCGAGGGAGCCAGAUCCGUUGCUGCUUAUAGGUUAACACCUCGUCGCGAACGCCGUGACGAACGUUCUCCUCGGAGAGAGCGGUCUCCUCGUCCUUCCCGAGACGAUUUCAGCAGUGAACCACUUAAUAAUUUGGUUCGUAGGAAGAGGGACAAGUCAUCCCGUAAUGACUCGUCUCCGCGAAGGGAGAAAUCAAGGGCCCGGACUGACCGUUCACCUCGAUCAUCCCCUCCCACCGAACCAAUGGGUCCUCCCCGACCUAUUGACAUGUCUUCUUCUGCCCAGCCCGAGAGUGAAAAGACUGUUCGGAGUGCAUCCCCUAAAAAGGGAGAUUCUGAAUCUCGAGGUGCUUCCUCGAGGUCAAAGCCUGCUCUUGUCCCUCAAGUCAAAUCGCUUUCAGGUUUGGUGACUUACACAUACUUAAACGUUUUUGUCUCUACUAAAAUUCCAAUUUUUACAACUCUUCCUUCUUCGCAGCUAUGGAGAAAGAAGGCAGCGUCUUCCGAUGCUUCAAGACCCGAUCGGGUUCGAUCUUGCCAGACUUCAACAAGUGGCGCCCUGCGAUUCGUGAACGCUAUUUGCUUCACGCUCAUCAUUCAUCUCGGGUUAGUUCCGUUUUUUUUUUUUUCUUUACUGCCAUUCUUCAAACUGACUCGCCACCCCGGGUUUAUAAUGCCAGGCUCACAGCGAACUUAACGAUAUGAUCGAACAUUACGAAAGGUUGGUCAUUGGACAGGAGAAGGAGACUGACAUGUGGAAGAAGAAAUUCUCAGCUCUUGAGGCUGAACUCAGUUCUUCUGUCGGCUCCAAGCACGAUCUGGAGGACAAGGUCGACAGUUUAACAUCCGAGCUUGCGCAGAUAAAGGGGGAGCUGCAAGACCAGUAUGACCGGAAUUACAAACUCCAGGAUGAACUUUCUGGUGUUCAGGGUAGACUUCAUGAAUCCGAAUCAACCGCCGAUACCCUGAACAACCAACUUAUCGAGCUUGACGCGAAGUACAAGGCGCUGGCCAAGUUGCGUGAUUCCGAGUUAGCAAGGUCGGCAUCGAAGGCCAGAAAGGAGGUUAAGGGACGCGGGAUGGAGUUGAUCCAAGGGGCCAUCCGCUUCAUGCAAACCGAGAAGGCUAGGUCAGACAUGGAGUCAGACAUCAAGGAGCAUGAGAGCAACCUGAUUCUGUUGGAUCAAAUCCAUGAAGCAGAUUUCUCCGAGGAGCAAGAAAGGACCGAACUGUCAACUAAUCUUUCUGAAAAACGGAGUCGCUUGGCAGCUCUUCCCACUUCGACCUUCAACCCGCUUGACUUCGAGGAAUUCUUUACUGAAUCACCUCCUAUAAGUGAAUCGGGUUUAGACUGGGCAGGUAACGCUUGGCUCCCGACGCUUACUUUUUCUUACCUUGUACCUUUGAUUGAUUGGAAAUAUUAUUUCUAGGCUCAAGUGAGACGGAAGACGUUGUCCCACCCGUAGCUCCUAUGGUACCAGAGGUCACUCCGGAGGAUGGUUGCACCGCGGAGGGUGGUCAGGGAGCUUCAUCUGAUCAAGCGCCAAUUAAGGAAGCGAGUGAAACUUUGGCAGCCGAGCCGGAGUCCGAGAUGGAGGUCGAUCCGUAGUGGCUGUGUCCACUUUAAACUGGGGAUUGUCCCACUUAGUUUAAACUUAAUUUCGAACUUGUUUUUGGCCUAAGGAGGCUUUAUCAUUUCUUUUGAACAAGAUAUUUGCCUGAGGAGGCUUUUAAACCUUUCUAGGUUACGACCCAAGGGGGUUUGGUUAAAAUUAUAUGCGGGUUUGCAAAGUCCGCUUUUAACCUUUUGUGGCCUUGUGGUUAUGCUUUCGAGAUUUUUAGGCUGAUCAGACCUUUCUCUUUAGAAUGCGAGAGCUGAGCUCGGCUUAAAGCGAAUUCCCCACUUCGGGUUUAGUCAACUCGAUAAAUUUAUUGGGCUUGGGCCUUAGAAACUUUUGUAGUUAAUGCGACGGUUGCUCUUUCCCUUCUUAUAAGUAAGGAAAACGGCUCGUCUUUUAAUACAAUAACUGCCUUUUCUCGAUUUUCCAAAAAUGGUUUAAACCACUCGGACACUCUACCAUUAUUGGAUUUAUGGUUCCAAGACAAACCCUAAAUCAUUAUAAAUAAAGGCUUACCUACCUCCAAGCUUUAUUUAACUAUGUUUUUUUUUAGAGUCUUACUUGAGUAAUAUUGCGAGAAUGGAAAACGAAAAAGUAGCCCCCGUUGAUCCCGGCAGCCCACUCUUCUUGUCCGGCGAUGGCUUUGAACCGGCCAGCGUUCUCUUCCCUCACGCCGUCUUUCACUUUCCUUCAAAGGAGAAGAAAGAGGCUUGCGAUUUUAUUGACAAGGUAAAUAUUUAAAGUUUUAUGAUUUAAAAACUUUUUGUUUCAUCUUAUUCACUCAUCUUUAUGCUAGGUCGCCGACAAGCACCGUCGCUUGUGUGAAGAGAGGCAGCGGCUGGGCCUGAAAAGGCAAACACUCGAGGCUCGCAUUGCUCGGGUGGAGAGGAAGAUACGGGCCUUGGAAAGUGAUCCCUUUCAAUGGGAAUGGUGGAACUUUGACUCUGUCGCUGAGAUCCCGAAAAUGCUUCGGAUGUAUCUCUGCGCUAAAGGAGUCCCGGGUCCCGUGAACGCCCCCGUCUGCGCCGUUCCAUCUGACAGCGAAGAAGAAGAUGAAGAGGAGGCCAGCACCUGUCGGAAACGCGUUCGGGAUCAUCCCGAAGUGGAUGCCAAGAACAAGGCGUCCACUUCGAAGACUAAACCGGCGAUGAAGGAGCCUGUUCCUGAGCCUCUUCCAUAAAUGUUCUUUAUCUUCUUCCCUUAUUUUAAACUCGUAAUGGGCUUCGGCCCCUUUUUAUUUAUGGAAACAUUUGCAACUUUCCUUUCUUUUCAAAUAUUCUCGGAGAUGCGUCUUUUAAUGCAGGAUCUGUUCGAGGGCAUAAAUCUCUCCGCGAAUCACUCCAUUCUUAGGAUAGAAUCCGUAGCUUGCUAGGGAUAUGACGUUCCUAUAAAUUAUAGUCUCAAUUUCCCUUUACUCCUCACCAUUCUUUUCAUUUUAGUAGGUAUGGAGUUCAAUCUUCGCUGUUCAGAAUCUAUGUCCGACUUCUCCAGAAUCAGAAUGAUAAACGAAAAUGUUCCAAAUGAGCCAAGCAGGCAGCCUCCUCCACUUCGCGGCUUCUUGAGAUCUCAAAUCCGACCCCCAUGUGCUUUGAUCAGGGAUCUCCCAAUCAGAGACCAAGGAACAGCGACGGCGUUCAUAGAGGCACUCGAGCUUCAACAUCGGAAGCUUAUGUUGGAAAAGAGGAGACUCCGGAAGAGGAUUAACCGGAUGCAACGCAGGCUUACUACGGUGUCAAGAGAUCUUCACAUCCUUGAAUCUCACCCCGGAGAGUGGAUUGAGCUUGGAAUCUCUGACUUUGCUCGAAUUCCGGACUGCAUGAUGCCAAUCCUCGAUCUUGCUGGUCAAGGAGUUGAAGUGUUCUGCUCGUCAACAAGAUUUUCAUAGUCCGAAGUGUACGAUGAGGGACAUUCCGUCUUUUGAAUAAACGUUCUAUUCCCAAUUUCUUGUAUGUUCGCUUAGCCGAACCUUCUAUUUGCUUCACUUGUUCGCACAGUCGAAUCUUUUUCCUUUAAUAAAGAAAUAAAACAAAUUUUUAUUAAUAGCUGAACUCGUUUCCGAGCUGCCUACGUACCCAUUUCGGGAUCAAGCCACAUCGUAGUUCAUGUACAUAAACAAUGCAUGUAGCUUUAAACAUAAAACUUCUUUAGGUUGAUCACAUUCUAAGGUCGCUUGACCGGAUUGCCUUCUAAGUCUUUCAACCUAUAAACACCGUUCCGAACCACUUCGGUAAUAAUGUAAGGUCCUUCCCAAUUAAUACCGAGUUUACCGGCACCUUCUUCUUUUUUUGUUGUCAAAGACGCGCCUUAAUAUAUAAUCUCCCACGAAGAAAGGCCUACUUUUAACCUUAGAAUUGUAAUACCGGGCUGCUGCCUGCUGGUAAUUCUGGAUCCGAAUUAGAGCUUGAUCACGCCUUUCAUUUAUGGUAUCUAGUGAAUCAUUAAGCAUUGCUGAAUUUUCUUCCUCAUUUAACGGUGCUUCUGUUCGGCAAAGUCCGGGCACAUUGAGUUCAGCUGGUACUACCGCCUCCAUGCCGUAAACCAAAGAGAAUGGAGUUUCUCCUGUAGGUCGCCUAGGGGUUGUACGAUAGGCCCACAGGACGGGUUGGAGUUCUUCAUACCAUCCUCCCUUUAGAUGACUUAAGCGUUUCUUGAGAUUGCUUAAUAUUGUCUUGUUCGCGGCUUCAGCUUGACCGUUUCCUUGCGGAUAUCGUGGAGUAGAAUAACUAACUUUGAUUCCCCAGUCCGCACAAAAGGCAUCAAACUCGUGUGAAAUGAAUUGCGGUCCAUUAUCAGUGACUAUUUCGUAUGGAACUCCAUGUCGACAUAUAAUGUUUUUCCAAAUAAAGGUCUUCACCGCCGAAUCCUUGAUACCAACAUACACCUCAGCUUCAAUCCAUUUUGAAAAGUAGUCCGUAAGGACUAAAAGGUACUGUACACCUCGAGUUGAUUUGUGCAAUGGUCCAAUGAUGUCCAUUGACCACCUCAUAAAUGGAGGAGAAUAAUUCCGACGGUUGAUGGAUCAAUGGUGCAUGGAGUUGGCAGCGCUUGCAUCUUUGGGCGAACUUAACAUAAUCUGUGAUCAUAGUGGGCCAAUAAUACCCCAUUCUUUUAACUUUAAAAGCCAUAGCUCUUCCUGAUGAAUGACUCCCACAUAAUCCUUCAUGCACUUCGCUCAUGACUAUUUCGACUUCGGGCCCAAAAAUGCAUAAUAAGUAAGGGUCACUGACACCUCGUCUAUAUAACGCAUCCUUUGACAGACAAAAUUUCGCGCUAACGACUUUCAUUUUCCUGGCCUGCCAUUUAUUCUUUGGGAGCUCACCUGUCAUGAUGUAGUGCUUUAUUGGCUCCCUCCAGUCAGCCCCCCAGUCUUUAGCCGGAAUUUGGUCAACUUUGUGAAAUAUUCGUGGCUCUGGCUCGGGAUGCUCGUUUGGUUCAAGAAUAUCCUCCUCGAUUAACGGCCUGGUUUCUAACAUUGUUUCUGGAAUCACCUCUUCAGCUAAGACAACGGGUUCCUUGUUAGAUGUAUUCGAUCCCUUUGACUUCCUUCGUUUGUUGGGGGGUGGUUCGAUAUCUGGUUCGCCACGGUCGCGUGCCGCUGCUCGAGACCUUGUAACAACGAGGGUUUCUUUGCUAUCUUGAAUGCUUCGCUCCGAAAUGCAUUCCACUGGAAUAACUCUCUUUAACUCAGGAUCUGAUGUUGAUGCCAAUGGGGCAAGUGCAUUCGCAGUUGUAUUCUCUCCCUGAGGUAUGCGGAUUAAUUCGAAUUUCGAGAAAUUUUUAGAUAAAUCCUUCACCACUCCGAGGUACGCUUCCAUUCUUGAAUCUUUGGCUUCAUAGUCUCCAUUAAAUUGGUUAACUACUAAUUGCGAAUCGCAAUAAGCCAAUAUUUCCUUAGCUCCAACUCCUUGUGCUAAUCGAAGUCCGGCAAUCAGGGCUUCGUAUUCUGCCUCGUUGUUGGAGGCAUUGAAUAACAACCGGAAUGACUGUUCUAGAAUUUCUGAUGUUGGAGAUUCCAACUUGAUUCCCACUCCGGAUCCUUGCUUUGUUGAUGACCCGUCUACGUGUAAUUUCCAUGUUUGGUUCUCCGGCUGCUCUAUUGUUCCAGGUAUUGGUAACUCGGUUAAGAAAUCUGCUAAAACCUGAGCUUUCAUACUGAUCCGGCUUUUGAAUUCUAUAUCGUACUCGCUUAACUCCACAGCCCAUUUCGCCAAACGUCCGGACUGACUUGGACUAUGAAGUAUUAUUCGGAGUUGUUGGUUGGUUAAGACUUCUACCGGAUGGGAUUGAAAAUAUGGGCGCAGCUUCCGAGCCGAAGUUACCACCGCGAGUGCAAGUUUUUCCAUCAUUGUGUAUCUUGUUUCCGGAUCCGUCAUUGACUUGCCUAUGUAGUAAAUUGGUUUCUGCUCCCCACGGUCUUCCCGAACCAAGACUCCACUAACCGCGUGACUUGAAACCGACACGUACAAAUAAAGUUUUUCAUCCACUUCCGGUUUGGACAGUAUAGGUGGAGUGGAUAAGUAUGCCUUAAGCUGCCCAAAAGCUUCUUCACACUUCUCAUCCCAAAGGAAUCCUUUGUUCCCUUUUAGAAUUUGGUAGAAAGGCAACGACUUAUCUGUUGAUCUCGAGAUAAAACGAUUCAGAGCCGCAAUCCGCCCAGUCAACCGUUGUACUUCUUUGAAGUUUCUUGGAGAGGGCAUGUUUAGAAAGGCGUUAAUUUGAUUUGGAUUGGCUUCGAUUCCUCUUUCUGUCACGAUAUAACAAAGAAAUUCUCCGGAUGGGACUUCAAAUGUGCACUUCCCCGGGUUCAGCUUCAUUUGAUAUUUAUUGAGAAUAUCAAAACAUUCCUCUAAAUGCUUAACGUGAUCCUCUUUCUUUAACGACUUAACCAACAUAUCAUCUAUGUAGACUUCCAUUGUUUUCCCGAGAUGAUUAUGGAACAUCUUGUUAACCAACCGUUGAUAAGUUGCUCCUGCAUUUUUCAAACCAAAAGGCAUCACCUUAUAACAAUAGAUACCUCUAUCUGUGAUAAAUGACGUCUUUUCUUGAUCUUCGGGGUUCAUCAUUAUUUGAUUAUAACCCGAGAAGGCGUCCAUGAAUGUUAACAGCUCGUUCCCAGCGGUGGACUCUACAAGUCGAUCUAUAUGUGGGAGCGGGAAACUAUCUUUGGGACAUGCUUUAUUUAGGUCUGUGAAAUCGAUGCAAACCCUCUUUCCCAUUCUUCUUUUUGACAACGACAGUGUUUGCUAUCCAUUCCGGGUAUUGCACUUCUCUUAUGGACCCUAUCUUCAAAAGUUUAUCUACUUCGUCAUUUACUAUUUUGGCUCGCUCUACUCCGAGCUUUCUUCUUUUCUGUUUCACCGGCUUAAAGCUCGGAUCUACGUUUAGCUCGUGACAAAUUAUACUUGGAUCUAUACCAGGCAUGUCUGCUGCUGACCAUGCAAACGAUGUUUUGUUUCUCUUUAAAAGUUCGACCAAAGCUUCUUUUAUUUGGCCAGUCAGAGUUGCUCCAAUUCGAAUUUUCCGGUCCGGCUUGUCUUCUUCCAACACCACUUCGAUUACUACAUCAUCUUUCUUCUGCCCGCUAGGAAAUUUUGUUCUUAGUCUCUCUUUUGCGGGCUUCGUUAAUUGCUAUUGAAUCUUCAUACGGUGGCUAGCUAGGUAACAUGUCCGUGAAGCUUCUUGAUCUCCCCGAAUUGUUUCCACCCCAUUUGAUGUUGGAAAUUUGAUACAUUGAUGGUAUGUAGAGGGGACUGCUUUCAUUCGAUAAAUCCAGGGAGUCCCGAGGAUGAUGUUGUAAGCUGCGGGCUUAUCGAAGACAACGAAGUCCACGAUCUUCGAUACCUUCUUGGCAAGGACCGGUAGCUUGAUUGUUCCGAGAGACAUGGCUGACUCGCUUGUGAACGCAACUAACGGAGAUGGGGGUCCUACUAUGUCUCCUCGGCUGAUUCCCAUUCUUUCUAGAGUACUUAAAAAGAUCAAAUCGACCGAACUGCCUGUAUCUAUAAGGAUCCUUGAUACUUCGAAGUUGGCAACGUCAAGGGUAAUGACUAGAGCAUCAUCAUGCGGUCUUUCGAGUUACCGCGUUUCUUCUUCAUUAAAUGAUAUUGAUGCACCUUGAAAAUCGACUUCUUCGCUUAAGCUUGCUUUGAGUAGGAUAUUUCGUCUAUGUUUUUUGAUGGAACUUAUCGAAUCUCGACAAAAUUUUGAGCCUCCUAGAAUCACAUUGAUCUUACCCUUCGAACUCCUUGGUUCUUCCUCGUUGGCUAACCUUGGUCUUUUGGAAUCUUGAUCUUUGGAGUUUUCCUUCGGUUCGUGGUAUUCCUUCACAAAAUCUUUUAUAUCGAAUUUGGAAAGAUCUCCACUGGCCCAAAGCUCUGCGAGGUGCUUUUUAAGAACGCUGCAAUCCUUGGUUAAAUGUCUGGUUACUUUAUGAAUAUCGCAAUAUAGACUUUCAUCACGGACCCAAGUGUUUGAUCUUCCUUUCCCUUGGAAUUGCUUUCCGACGGUACUGUUGAAGGGUUGCGACCCAAAUUUCCUUGGUCCUUUGCUCUCCCUAGGCUCGAACUUCUUGGUAGGGACGGUGAUUGCCGGCUUUUCUUGCUUAUUUCUUUUGGCAAAACUUUCUUUUUCGUCCUCUACCUCCAUCCAGUUGUUCGCGCGGAAGAGUGCAUCCUGAAUUGUGUCUGGUUUAUGAAGUAUUAAGUCUUCUUUAAACCUUGAAUCAUGUCGCAAUCCUUUUCGUAGGGCAGAUAAAGCUGAUUGCUGCGAGAUUCUUGGGAGCUUUGACAGCACUCCUUUGAAUUUGGUGAUGAAAACUCGAAGCGACUCAUUAGAUCCUUGCGAUAAGUUCUAAAGAUCGGCAUCCGAAAUGCUUUUAUCCAUAAGGAUGGAGUAUUGCUUUAAGAAUACGGCUGAUAGUUCGUCGAAAUUGCUGAUCGAACCCGGCUCUAAUUGGGUGAACCACAUUAGAGCUUGGCCACAUAGAUUCUCCGAAAAAAGCUUGCAGUAGCCUGCGUCCUCAUCAGCUUCAUCCAAUUCGACUCUUCCAGCAGCGAUCUAGAAAAGCUGCGAGAUAGCUUUUUGGAUCCUCCAAUCCGCUGUAAGGGUCCAACUUGAGUUUCCAGGAAUCUUUGAUCCUCAAACUUGCAAUUCGCGAGAUGAAAGGUGUUCGCCUAGCUUCUUCAAUGACUCGAUUGAUGUCUGGCUCCGAACUUGUAGCUUGAUGAAAUUUUGAUUUCAUUUCUUUUAAUUCCUGGCUAACCUUCCUCAUGGUCUCGAACUGGUCGAGGUUCUCCUGCUCGUACUGAGCUGCAAGUUGUUCUUCAUCCCCGAGCUGUAUCUCUUCUUCCAACGUCUGAGCUACAUUAUUAGUAGCACCAGGAGUUGUUUGUCCGCUGGUUUCAUUUCGUGCAGCGGAACUUGGCGAGUUGAAUAUCCCUCUUCGGAUUCCCACAAGGUUUCCUGCACUUAAAGAGCGAACACGAGUUUGUAUAGUAUUGACGUUUUGACUAAGAGAUACCUGGGAUGUUUGCAACGUAUCGACGGCCUUUUCCACAUCCGAAAACUUUUGUGAUAUGUCCGACAUGGUUUGUUGCAUAGCUUUGAGGGUUUCGGCCAAUGAUGUCUCAACGGCGUCUCCUCCGGACAUUGUUGCUUAUCUCGGAAAUGUAGUAAAGAAAAAAUCUGACCACUCAAGAAUCCUAUAUCCCCACAGACGGCGCCAAAAUGUGGAUGUCGGAUUCACACAUUCAAGUAUUUUAUUAAGUAGGAAAGAUUAUUCUUGAGGGACAAAAAUGAAUAUGUAAAAACUUCUAAAUUGCUACGAAAAUUGUUAUAGUAUUUCUUUCUUUAGAGGAAGAUCCCCUUUACAUGGCCAUUGGCCUUUAUAUUUAUACAUAGAGAAACGACAUUAAAAUGAAUAAUUAAGUACAAUUAUUCCUUCUUAAAUGUGUCCGUUUUGAUUCUUCGACUUUAAUGCUCAACGUUUGAAUUUGAGUUGACUCUGAUCUUCAUGGGCCUCGCCUUUUUGGCCCAAGUGUCCUUGAACCGACUUACCCGUGUCUUCUACACCGAACUCGUGUCACAGUGCAGUCACUUCGGAUUCUCGAAGUGGCGACAACCACUUCGACCGUUCCUUCGGCUCAUGGGUUCAAUGGGCUUUAUCCUUUAUGGGCCAUUAUCUUGACUACGUGGCAAUCUUUGGUUGGUCUCGAACUUCUGGUGCGGAAUCCGACACCAACAAGAGUCGUGAGGAUGAAAAUUUUAGAUGCUACAGAAUUUAUAAACGCACAGAGCAUUUUUUAAUACGAAACAUGAUUAGCCUAGUCAUGACCAACCGAAUUAUGAAAAUGAAUUUUGUUGUUGUUAAAAGCGUACGUGGAUAACAUAACAUGCCAAUAAUUAUUGUAUCAACAAUAUAACAUUCCAUUAUUAUAUGUAUAUCUAUCUAAGUGUAAUUUAUUUAUAUUAUUUUUGUUUGUCAAUUAUAGAUGAGCCCACCAAUAAACAUUGGCGGUCGUUUAUAUGGACAAGGAUCGAGUUCUCAAGCUGUUGGUUCUCAAAGACAUUUGUCUCAAACUGCAAACGCUGAAUCAAGUGAGCAGGGAGAAGAAAUUGCACCUGUGCAAUAUGAUAUUCGAGUGCUUCACCCCUCUCGAAGAAAUGGAGCUAAAUGGUAUUGUUCUUUCUUUUUUGUUUCAUUCAUUGUUUAAUGUAACAAAAUAAACUGUAAAUAUAAUUUAAAUACAUAUGCAUCAGGUUCAAAAACAACACCGAAGUGUCAACGCGUGUUAGAAAAAUCAUUGAAGGGUGUUUUCAGGGACCUUGGUAUAGCUGGAAAAAUGUGCCGCAAUUUUAUAGAGAUGCAUGGUUUACAACGUUUAAGGUGUGUGUUAGUUAUAUGUAAACUAUUUUUGUGAAAUUAUUUUUUAUUUAAUACAUGUCUGACAUAGAUAUAUUUUAGACAAGGUUUGAGUUGGAUGCCUCGAUUGAGCAUCUAGUUAAAGCCAACUUUGAUGCCCUUGCUGCUGCUCGCCUCAAAGGAAUGGUUAGUCUUGCAAAGUCCAAAGGAAAACAACCUAAAUGGAUUCUGGCUGAAUAUUGGAGGUAAUGAUAGCUUAUUGGAAGACUCCAAAAGCCAAAGAAAAAAGUGAAAAAGCUCGUUCUUCACGACUAAAUAGUCGUGAUGGUUUAGGUCCACAUUGUCACAGAGCGGGUUCACGUUCAUAUGCUAAAGUUCAAGAUGUCUUGGUAAUAUAUUUUAUUUUUAAUUUUGGUAACAAUUAUGUUUUAUUUAAAAACAUUUCAUAAGAGUUAUUAAUUACUUUCUUUUUUUGUUUUGUUCUCAGGAAGCGAAUAAUGAAGACUCUUCCUACAUUGCUGUGAUGAGAGCAACACACCAAAAAUCUGAUGGAACAUAUGUUGAUGAAAGAGCAAGACUAAUUGCUGAACAAUAUGAUGAAUGUCUUCUUGAACGCUUGACACAAGCGGAUUCCUCCAAUGGAGAGGUUUUGACAAUGGAUUCCCUUAGCAUAGAAGAGAAAAAUGAAAUCUAUGUCAAGGUAACUUUCACUUGCUUUCACUUGAAUCUACUUUGCUUUCUUGGAUCUUUGAAGGAGUUUGUGUUUUAAAAUUUGUCAAUAUUCAUGAUUUUAUGUUUUUUUUCUAGAUUGCUGGAAUAUCAAAACAAGGUUGUGUAUUUGGACUUGGAUCACUUCAAAGUGGGGUUUCCAUGUCAGAUGGUUCCCUAGUUCCCCCUCAAGCUACUGAAGAAGUGGGAGCAUUAACUCUCCGAGUGAAAGAACUAGAAGCUGAACUGCAAAAGAGUCGUGAAGCUAAUGUGCUUGUUCGACUCGAAGCUGUGGAGCAACUAAUUCAAACUCUUGCACGUCAGAAUGGGUUAGAUGCAUCAGCUCCACCUCCUCCACCUGUAGGAAGUUCUUCUUCUCCACAAGCUCCCAUGGGGUUUUCUCCAUUUUCUCGUGCUACGUAAUAUGGCUUGACUUUGGUUUCUAUUUAGUUCUCUUUAACUUGGACACUUUAUCUUUAUUCUCUUCUGUUAUGAAACCUUCUGGUUGUGAAACAAACCCGGUCUCCUUUAACUCUCCGCGUAGGAAUGCCGUUUUUACAUCCAAGUGAUGCACUUCCCACCCAUUUGAAGCUGCCAAGGCAAUGAUGAAUCUGAUUGUCUCGAUUCGCGCUACUAGUGCAAAUACUUCGUCAAAAUCAAUCCCAUGUUUCUGCACAUACCCUUUAACGACUAGUCUAGCUUUAUAUUUGUUUAUACUCGUGUCUGAGUUUCGUUUGAUUUUGAAUACCCACUUUAGUCCAAUCGCCUUAGCUCCAACAGGGAGAUCAACUAGAUCCCAUGUUUUGUUCUUUGUAAUAGAUGAAAUUUCAUUUUUGCAAGCUUCUCUCCAUUCUUUCAUAUUCUUUGCUUCCUCGUAAUCCCAUGGUUCUUCAUCUAAAGCCAUUAGGAGAAGUUCACCUUCAAUCUCAGCAAGAAGAACAUAGUCAUUUAAGUACUUAGGCUUUGUAACUUGUCUUUGCGAAGCUCUUAAGAUUUGAGGUUAAAUUUGUUGCGGACUCUCAACCACCUCCUCAGUUUCUUCCACAAUAGGAUCAUCUUCUUCCCCUGUAUCCUCAGACUCACUUCCCUCCUCAUCACGUUCCUUAGUGAUGAUAUUUUCUCUGACUGUUUGAUUUUCUAUGUUUUGAUCUUCCCUUAGUCCAUUAUUUCCAAAUUCUCCAAUACUCCCUGUAAAUGUUCCAAACUCUGCACUAGGUUCUUUUCUUGAAUGAUUCCACUUCCAGCUCUUGUUCUCAUCAAACACUACAUCCCUACUCACGGUUACCUUUUUAGUAGUCGGAUCCAACAAUCUAUACGCUUUUGAACCUGGUUCAGUGGCAAGAUGAACUAAAGCUCGAGAUCGAUCACCUAACUUUCUUAGAUGUGGAGACUCUGUUUUUGCAUAUCCAAUGCAGCCAAAUACAAGCAAGUGUUCAACAUUUGGUUUUCUUCCCUUGAAAGCUUCAUAUGGAGUUUUUGUACUCAAGACUCUUGUUCCAACUCGGUUUAUUAAGUAGGUGGCGUGUCUCACAGAUUCACCCCACAAGUAGUUUGGCAUAUUCAUGUCUUUGAGAAUGCUUCUUGUCAUCUCCAUGAGUGUCCGGUUUCUUCUUUUAACAACACCAUUCUGUUGUGGUGAAUAAGGUGCAGUAAGAUGUCUCUGUAUUCCCGCAUUAUUACAGAAUGUUUGGAACUCUUGAGACAUGAAUUCUCCACCCCUGUCUGUUCUAAGAGUCUUGAUGGUAGCACUGGUCUCUUGCUCAACUAAACUUUUGAAUUUCUUGAACUUUUCAAAGGCUUCGCUUUUCUCCUUUAAGAGUAUAGUCCACAUGUAUCGGGAAUGAUCAUCUAUUAGUACAAACACGUACCUAUUACGAGCAGUCGUUGGAGGUGCAGUGUAAUGGGUCCACAAAGAUCCCCAUGUAUGAGCUCAAGCUUCUCCCUGGCACGGUAUGAGGUUGCUUGAGGAAAGACUUCUUACUUGCUUACCAAGUAAACAAGAGGCACAUGUUUCUUUCUCAAUUUUUAUUGUUGGUAAGCCAGUGACCAAUUCUUUCUUCAUCAUCGUUUUCAUUGUUUCUAAUCCAAUAUGCCCAAAUCUUGCAUGUCAUCUUGUCGACUCACUCUGCCUCAUUACUUGUAGACAGUUCUUUGGUUCAAGUUCCAUAAAAACUUUGUAAAGCCGAUUCUUUGAUCUUUUGGCUCUUACUAAAAGUUUUCCAUCUUUGUCAUGAACUGUGAGAAAGUCUUCUCUCAUCCUCACAUCACACCCUGCUUCAAUUGCUUGACCUAGACUAAUGAUGUUGCUCUUUAAUUCGGUAUAAAAUACAUAUCUGCUAGUAUUUUUCUUUCAUUGUUCUUGCUUACAAACAAAACAGAGCCUUUUCCCUUUAUAUCUAUUCGUGAGUCGUCACCAAAUCUCACUUUUCCAGUGACUGUCUUGUCUAUUUUAGAGAAGUAUUCUCUAUUUCCGGACAUGUGAUUGCUUGCACCAUUGUCUAGAUACCAAACGUUGCUUCCAUCUGCUUGUGUUUCAAAGUUACUCGGCUUCACAUUCUUUUCAUUCAGGUAAACUACUUCGUGUACCAUCAAUUCUUCAGCUUCAUGAGUGUCAUCCUCCUUGUUUUCUUGUGCUUCUUGGAGCUUAAGUAUUCUGUCAGGGCAAUUAGAAGGAAAGUGACCUAGCUUGUCACAACGACAACACACUACUUUGGAUUUGUCCCUUUCUUGUCUAAAUCCUCCGUUUUGUUGAUUCCCAAAACGGCCUCGCCUCUUCCUGCUUGAGGAUAUCUACCUCCUUUGCCUCUUCCACCUCCAUAGUUACCUUGAUAUGUCUGAGACUCAUGAUUUGCAUACAUGAGUUUCCCUUGAUCAUUCGGUUGAUCUUCUUCUUCAUCCAAGACUCUCUCUUCAUAAGCUUUUAGUCUCCAUACAAUGUCUUCAAAACUUGUUUUCUUGAGAUCAAGUACUUGCUCAAGUGAGGCUACGAUGUGUAUGAACUUUUUUCUUGGUACGGAGCUAAGAAAUUUCUUGACUAGUUUGAUCUCCUCAAUCUUUUCUCCUAGAGCUGCAGAUUUGAUGGCUAUUUCGGAGAGUUUUCCGGAAAACUCAUCAAUAGUCUCUGUUUCCUUCAUCUUGAUUCGAUCAAAUUCUGACAUGAGGGUUUGAAGUCUAGCCUCUCUGACUCUAUCUGCACCUACAUGUCUUGACUUAAUGGCGUCCCAUACUUCUUUUGCAGUUUCAUACUCACCGACUUGUAGGAUCAAGGUCUCUGGUAUGGAUUAGAAGAGAAGAGCUUUUGCCAUGUCAUUCUUGUCUGCAUCAGUUGAUCCAGGUUCAAUAGCAUCCCAAACCUUGUUUACCCUAAGCAUCGAUUUCAUCCUCAUGAUCCAAACAGUAUAAUUUGUAUAGAGGAAGAACUGGUUUCUGUCGUCUUGUUAACAGGGAUUAUAUCUCGCAUGUUUUCUGAUUACACGAACAAGUCUCCUUAGACGUAAGUCUCUAUUUUCGUAUCACAACUUGUGUCUUGAUUCAAUAUGCUCUGAUACCAAUUAUUGAAUCAAACACUUUGAGAAUAAGAACAAGAUUAUGAUUUAUAAAGAACACCUUUCUUUAUUGCUUUGGAAACUAACUCAACACCAAGCUUACACAAUCUCUCUAAUCUCUCAAAACUCUUAAAACUCUAUUAGGGUUAACCACAUCUUUGGCACUCCUUAUAUAGGGAAAUAAUCCUAACACACCUAGGAUUAAGUUUUAACAACUACCUAGAAGCUUCCUAAACAUAAACCGACUUGUUUAUUUUAACGUGGGCCUUAAGCCUUUUCAAGUUUAAUCAACAAGCUCCAGGUUACACCAAGUCGCUGAUGUGUUACGCUGAAAAAACUUGAUUUUAGUUUAACUUUAUUGAUGUUUAUAAACGGUUCAUUUACAACUACAAUUAAAAUCAAUAUAAUUUUGAUUUAAAGAAAUAUUAAAAAAAAAUUCUGAUUUUGUCGACAAACUUAUUUUCAAAUUAAAGAUAUUUAGAAUAAUUUAUUAUAAGUUCUCCUUUUAUCUAUAUUAUUUGAUCAUAUUUUAAAAACAUUUAAAUCAACACAUACAAUAAAACUUCUAUAAAUUAAUAAUAUCAGGACAGAGAAUAUGGCAUAUGGCGUCAAUUAUGUAUAUGGUUUACGUCAGUUUCUCAGUGACUUAAAAAAGCUUGUGUUUACUUAGACCAUCUUUAUCGGUACAUCUGUACCAAUGAUCUUAUGAAUAAAAAAAUAGAAAUUAAUGAAAAAUGGGUUAAGAGCAUAUAGAACAGGUCUCGGACAAGAUCUGUUCUUUCGGAGGUCUUGCGCCAGGUGGCGAAAGGUAAGUGGGUAACAAUUUUUUAAAAAACCAAAAAUAUUUUCAUAUCUCACUCUCUCUCCACCUAUCAUCAUAUUCUCUCUAUCUUUCUCUCUCUUACCUUAUUAUAAUACUAUUAUAAUUAUCAUAAGAUCUAUCUUUAAAGAUAUACCCAUAAAUAUGCCCUUAUAAAACUAACGUCUCAUGGGUAGCCGUGAACUUAAUUAACUCUAAGUAACUGUUGUUAAUACCCUUCCCAUUUUUCAAUUUUAGGUCAUUUAUACAAGUGAUGUUGAAUAAGUAACGUGUUCAAGCAUUUUUUUGUAGUGUAUAGGCAGAGGUGUCAAAAUGGGUCAAGAUUCAUGGGUCAACCAACUCAACUCAAACCCAUGAACCCUAAUGAGUUGAAAAUUUUGACUCAAAUGAGUUGUUGAGUCAAAUGGGUUGAUGGAUCAAAUGAGUUGGGUUGUAAUGGGUCAAUGGUUUCAAUGGUUUACCCAUUUAACCCAUCAAUUUUUGUUAGAUUGAAUCAAACCAAUUCAAAUCUCUAAACCGAUUUCAAUUUGAGUCUAACCAAAAAUUCUAAACCGAUUGAUUAUAGUCUUUAAUUUUUCCGCCAAAAAUAUGAAUACACAAUUUUCCCAUCAAAAUAUAAAUUCAUGAUUUUCCCGCCAAAAACGUAAAUCCGCAGUUUUCCCGCCAAAAACGUAAAUCCGUGAUUUUUCCGCCAAAAAAAUUUAUAAUUUUUAACCAAAAACGAUAAUAUGUAAUUUUCCCGCCAAAAACGUAAAUCCGUGAUUUUCCCGCCAAAAACGUAAAUCCGUGAUUUUCCCGCCAAAAUUUUUUAUAAUUUUUAAGCAAAAAUGAGAAUGUAAAAUUUUCCCGCCAAAAACGUAAAAUCCGUAAAUUUCCUGCAAAAAACAUAAAUCCGUGAUUUUCUUGCCAAAAACGUAAAUCCGUGAUUUUCUCGCCAAAAACGUAAAUCCGUGAUUUUCCCGCCAAAAUUUUUUAUAAUUUUUAACCAAAAAUGUAAAUCCAUAAUUUUCCCGCCAAAAACGUAAAUCCGUGAUUUUUCCGCCAAAAACGUAAAUCCGUGAUUUUUCCGCCAACAUUUUUUAUAAUUUUUAACCAAAAAUGAGAAUGUAAAAUUUUCCCGCCAAAAAUGUAAAUCCAUAAUUUUCCCGCCAAAAACGUAAAUCCGUGAUUUUUCCGCCAAAUAAUAGUGAUGUUGAUGAUUAUUAUUAUUAUUAUUAUUAUUAUUAUUAUUAUUAUUAUUAUUAUUAUAUUUUAAUUAUUAAUUUAUUUAUUACAUUAAUAUUUAAUGGGUCAACCCAUUUAACCUUCUAACCCAUCAAAUUAAAUGAGUCCAUGGGUUGACUCAACUCAUUUGGCUAAAUGAGUCAGUGCAACCCAUGAACUCAUUUAACUCUAAACUCAUUGGGUAAUGAGUUGAGUUGAGUUGGGUUAACCAUUUUGACACCCCUAUGUAUAGAUAUUAAUUUGAAAAAUUGUUAAAAUUACCCCUUUUGGUGUGCCCCUUUUCAAAAAUGCCCCUUUUAGAUGUCCAUUUUCAAAAAUGCCCCUUUUUAAAUCUGAAAUUUUUAUAAAGUUUUAUUAGGUUUAUAAGGGACUUAUGGAUUGUAACUAUUACUUGAAGACUCGAUCCAAGUAUUUAUAAGGUUUUAUAAGGUGUUUUUAAAGGUUUUACAAGUUAUUUUAAAGGAUUUUUUAAGGUUUUUCAAAGGUUUUACAAGAUAUUUUAAAGGUUUUUAAAGGUAUUUAAAAUGCAUUUAUAAGAUUUUAUAAAGUAUUUAUAAGAUUUUAGAUACAUAGAAAUGUAGUUUGUGUAUGUUUUAAUAAUAUUACAUACAUAUUUGGGUAAAUCUUAUAUUUUUAAGAGCAUUUUUUAUAAAGUUUUUUAAAAAGGGUAUUUUUGAAAAGUGGCAUUGAAAAAGUGGCAUUUUUGCAAAAGCCCCUAUAAUUAAUUAAUAAUUAUUAAUUUAUAAAGAGAUUUAACUAAUCUUGUAAAUAUUUUUAAGAAUUUUAUUUGAAAAGCAAUUUUUUUUGCUUUAUAAUCAAUUUCUUUUUAAAACUAGUAAAAAAGAAAUUAUUAAGUUUAGAAAAAAAAAAAAAAUAGAUGUAGAGUCUAAAUGGUGACAUUAGUUUGAGGAAUUGAUGAGGAAUUGUUGUGGAAUUUUCAUUUGGUCACAUCAUUUACAUAAAUAAAAACUUGAGGAAAGCUUGAGGAAUUUCAGUCACAUCACUUGGUUAAAUACUAUUUUUAAGUUUAUAAUGUUUUUAUUGUUAUGCUUUUACUAAAUUAUAUAUACUUUAUAUUGUAAAUAAUAAUUUUCAUAAAAUUUAUAUUUAGUUUGUGUGAUAUUAUAAAAAUUAAUUAGUUAACCUUUCUUAAAAAGUAAAAGACAUAAAUAAUGAUGAAAUUGGUUAGGUCUAUAUUGGUGACUAAAGAAUAAAAAUAAGUUUGUAACCAAUUAGUAAUUAAUUUUAAUUUAAGGUUUCAUAUGAUAAUUUUUUUUUUUGGUCAUCUGGUAAAAUAUAUUGAUAAGGGUAGGUUACAAAGGAAAUUCAACUUUCGAUCCUAACAAGGAGGAAGGAAACAAGUCACCAAACAAAACUACUCUAAACCAUUUAUAGGAACAUGGUCAAUACAAGAGAAAAAGGCUACACGAGAAACAGCCUAUUCGAAACAUCACAAAAAGCUUAGACAGAGGACGAAAUUCUCUCACUUUCAAACAAGCCAUAUAACCAAUGUGGAUGACUUGAAGCAACAUAAGAAUUUAGUCUGCACUCAAAAGUAACACUCUGAGCCAAGAGAAAGGCUCCUCUGUUAGCUAGUGGAUGCUCCAAUACAACACUCCACUCCAAAAAAAAUUCCAAGCAUCUAAGCAGCUCUGAGGAUUCAUACCUAAAAGAAGGUCAAGCAAUCGGUCUCAAAAUGACUCCAAUCAAAGAGGCAUCCUGCAGAGCAAAACCCACCUUAGAACAACGAUGGCUAAUCAAACUUUCCAUAGCCCAAAGAACACUAAAAAAAACCGCCUGAUCCUUAUGUGAUACAUUUGUAAAAGAUCUACGGCUGUGUAACAACACAUUCCCUUCAUCAUCUCGCAGAACCCAUGCACUUCCUGCCAGAUUAUUUCUUUUAGACCACGAAACACCUACAUUACACUUCAACCAAGAUCGUAAUGGAGGUUUCCAGAUGGGUAAUGGAUCUUGCAGUUCAUGGACUCUAGAACUAAGAGCAGGGCACGAAGUCGGGUUUGAAUCUUGGCCAGAAGGAGAGCGAUGAUCUGAAAUAUCCAAUCUCUGACCCAAAAACCACUCAUCUACAUCCACACUAAUCUUUGCCACUGACUAAGCAGCAUCAAAACUCUUCCCCUCAAAAAACAGAAGAUUCCUGUUUUUCCAAAUUCUCCAAAGAAUCCAAGGGAAACUCUUCCUUAAGUGGUGAGGCCAUUCUUUAUUGUCUCUGUUGAUCAAUAAAUGCUGAAAGUUUGAAUAAACAACACCUUUAUCAAAACCUGCCUAUGGGUAUGGGUAGUCAGACAAUGCCCAAAUUUGUCUAGCAACCUGACAUUCAAACAAAACAUGGUUUAUACUUUCACCAUCCUUCCCACAAAUUUGACAUCUACCAUCCAAUUCCAUGCCUCGGUGUAACAACUGAUCUGUAACUCCUAAAGCACCACUUAAAGCCUUCCACAUGAAGACCUUUAACUCUGGAUCGGUAGUUAACUUCCAUACUUGUGCCUUUAGAGGGUUAAUCGAUGGUUGAAGAGCAGCUUGAGAAAUAAUAUCCUCUCUAAAAACCUCACAAGCCAUCCAAUAAGCAGAUUUAACUGAGAAGUCCCCAUUUUUGUUGUGUUUCCAAACAAAGAAAUCCUCAAGAUCCACCACUGGUUUCUUUUUAUUGAUCUUGAUAAUAUCUUCCGGAAAUAAAUGCUCCUCAAGCUUCAUAGGAUCCCAAUCUCUUCUUCCAAAAUCAAUGAGGUCACAAACCUUGAGUUCUAAAUCGAUAAUGGGAUUUUUGAUCCAAGGAAUGCGCAUAAUACCAUCCUCAAGCCAAGGUUCCAUCCAAACCUUGAUGGAAUUACCAUUGCCUACUCUUUUUUGAAGACCUCUUAAAAGUAAUUCUCUGUCAAAAAGAAUACCGUGCCAAGCGAAAGAAGGCCUAGAACCCAAAGCAGCAUCAAGGAACCCAACAAAAGGAAAAUACAUGUGCUUAAGGAACUGAGCAAAAAGGCAAUUAGGAUGUUGAAUGAGCCUCCAAGCUUGCUUGGCAAGGAGAGCCUGAAUGAAUAGAGAGAUGUCUUUGAACCCAAGACCCCCCAGCUCCUUUGACAAACAAAGCUUAUCCCAACUUAACCAAUGAAUCUUCUUUUCAUGUUCAUGAGAACUCCACCAAAAGGCAGCCAUAGCACUAGAGAGGUUUUCACAAGUGGUCUUGGGCAAUCUAAAACAUUACAUAGCAAAUACAGGCAUUGCCAUUGCUAUAGAUUUUAGUAAUACUUCCUUGCCACUCAAAGAGAGAGUCCUAGAAAACCAAGCAGACAGUUUUGUUUGAAGUCUUUCCUUGAUGUAACUCAUCAUCUCAAUCUUAGACCCACUAAAACAUUCAGGAAGGCCUAGAUAAGUGCUAGCACCACCUUCACUAAAAAUGCCCAAGCCUGCCUUAAUGCUUUCCUUUUCUGCGAGAUUCACCUUUGCACCGAAGGAGAUAGAGGAUUUGGAAAGAUUCAGCACUUGACCAGUAGCUUUCCCAUAACAAGAUAGAAUCCUCUGUAACUCUCCGGCCUCUUCUUGAUUAGCCUUACACAUAAAGAGACUGUCGUCUGCGAAUAAAAGAUGAUGAAUCGAAGGUCCAUCAUCAUGGAAUUGAAUACCUGAAAUCCUUCCAGCAGAAUGAGCCCUAUUCAACAAGUGAGACAAACCUUCAGAGCAUAGCACAAAAAGAAAGGGAGAGAGAGGAUCUCCCUGUCUUAAUCCACGUUGCGGCUUGAUCAAUCCAUGAGGGACAUCAUUAAUUAGAACAGAAUAGGUCACGGAAGAAACACAAAACAUUAUCCAAUUGACCCACUUUACAUGAAACCCCAAAGCAAGCAACAAGGACCUGAGAUAGCUCCACUCAACUCUAUCAAAGGCUUUAGACAUAUCAGUCUUACAGUCAUAUAUUCUGCAGAAAUCUUUGGUUUUGUCUUGAGGCUGUGCACAAUCUCAUGGGCCACCACUAUGUUGUCAGAGAUCAAUCUAUCCUCCACAAAGGCCGAUUGGGAGUCAGAUACUAAACCAGGAAGAAGAGGUUUAAGUCUCUUUACCAGGAUCUUGGAGAGGACCUUAUAGAGGACAGAACAGAGGCUAAUGGGUCUUAAAUCCUUCAUCUCAGUAGGGUGCAGAAUUUUGGGAAUGAGGCAAAGAUGGGUAUAGUUCCACUCCUCAGGAAAAUCCCCAAAAAGAAAAAAGUGAUGAACCUCCUUAACCACCUUAUCUCCAACAAUCCCCCAAUAAUGUUGGAAGAAUAAUGCUGACAUACCAUCAGGACCAGGUGCACUUGAAGGUUUGAUGGAGAACAUUGCUUCUUUAACCUCUUCUUUCGAGACCGGAAGGAUGAGUCUGUCAUUCAUCACAGAGGAUACCUUAGAAGGGAAGUCAAAGAACCAGUGAUUGAAAUUGACCGGAUUAGCAGAAGUGAAGAGGUUGCUGAAAUAAGCAGAAGCUACCUCUCCCUUGGCACCUUCAGAUUUCUGCUCAUUUCCAUUAAUAUCUAAGAGAAUGUCAAUUCUCUUCUUUGCUCUACUGUUCUUCACCGAUGCAUGGAAGAACCCAAUAUUUCUAUCACCACUAUGCAUCCAUUUGUCUUUACUCUUUUGUCUCCAAUACUCUUCCUCCUCAUUGUAGGCUAUUGCAAGAUCCUUUUUUAAACUGUAAACCAAGGAAAAUCUGGGGAAAGAGGAGGACUGUUCCAAUUCCAAAGCAUUCUCAAUCAGUUUUUUGUCUUUUGCAUUCAGAUUGUUCAUUUUUUUCCAAGAACUUAAAGCCUUUCUGCAACCCCUCAGCCUCUGAGCCACAUCAUCAACCCGAGAGCCAGUAGACGCAUUCCAAGCAAGGAGAAUAGUCUCUUCAACCUCUGGCUUAUACAAUAACCUUUUGUUAAAUCUGAACUGGCCUCUGUAAUGGUCUUGAGAAGCAGUCAACUUUAUCAGCACCGGCCUAUGAUCGGAUCCUCUCAAGUCCAAAAAGGAUUGAUUAGACACUGGAAAAAGGGAGAACCAUUCUUUGUUUCCAAAGGAUCGAUCCAAUCUACUUUGAAUCCAGAGAUCGUACCUUCCUAUCAUUAAAGUCCCCAACUAUACACCAAGGGUCUCUUCUUCCCAACCCUAUUCUACUCAAUCUUUCCCAGUUGUCUUUCCUCCUCUUGAAAACAGGAUCUCCAUAUAUACAUGACACAAAGAAGGUGAAAGCACCAAACUGUACUUGAAAGUCCAUCAGAUUCUUAUCUAUAUACUUGAGAUCGAUAUUUACACCAGCCUUAAUGAACAAGACCAAACCACCACUUUUACCCUCAGGCUCCACAGUAAAAACCCUCGCAUAACCAAGAACUUCCUGUAGAUCCACUAAAUCAUCACGAACAUGCAUCGUCUCCAUCAAGAACAACAUCUCAGGAAAAAGUUUUUUACGCAAUUCCUUGAGACGGUUUCAUAUGAUAAUUAUGUUUGAUAACUAUUAAACAUAUUAACAUAAAAUUCCACCAAAAUUUACCUUUUAUUAACAUAAAACCCUCGUAACAUCAUUCUAAUUGUAUAUCUAUUGUAGUUGAGAACUGUAAUGGAUCCUGCUCUACACUACAAGAAAUCUGUGUCACGGUCUAAACUAGCUGAAAAAUAUUUCCAGGCAAGUUUCAGAAUUAAAGACGAGAAUUUUUGUUUCGGCUUCGGUCUUAACACCAACCAACUCUUGUGUUCUAUGGGAGAUUGACAAAGAAGAAUAGAAAAGCAACUCUUGCCGAUGAGUUGGUGUCAGAUCCUAAAACUUCUCAGUACAGGUUAGUUACUAUCAUUGUCUAUUAAGAAACAAUGUAUAGGAAAUGCCUAAAUUCUGUAUCAAGUAUUAUGAUAGGUAUUAGUAUAAGUGUGUGGUUUAUCUAUCCAACUAAUAGGAAUCUGUGUCUUGAUGUUGUGAAUGUGUUUUUGUUGAUUAUGGUUUUACAGGAAGCGUAAAGUUAGGGAGAUUGAGGAGAAGAGUAGAGCUGUCACGAAUAAGAAAUGGAAGAAAAAGGGAAACCAAUCCAAGAACACAAAGCAAACAAGGAACUGAAUUACUUUUGUUAGAGUAUGAUCAAAGUUUUGGGACACAUUUUUCUAUUUUUAAUAGAAUAUGAUCAUAGUAUUGGACACACUUUCUUGUGGUGCUAUAGACCUUACGUUGUAAUGACUCAUGUUGUUUAUGGACUUCGUUUAAAGGAUUUGCAGCACUCAUAGUGCCUCCCUGCUUGAGUCAUCUAGCACUGACCAUGCCACACAUAUUUAUGGCAGCACAGCAAAACUUUGCUAGUGAAUUUGGUAUUCAGCAAGAUCUAAACUAUGUGACUUUCUUCUUUUGAAUCAUAGUUGUAGUGAGAAGGCCAAGAGUAUUGCUGCAGCUGCUUCGAGCCGGGGAAAGAUUGAGGUCAGUUGUUUGAAUUUUUGUUUUGACUCGGCCUUGUUACAAUCUAUGAUAUUAUAUCAGCUCUUUGGAACUAAGAAGAUGGAUUGUGUGUUUAGGAUUUAAAUCUGUGUCAAGUUAAACUGUUUAAGCUCGCUUUUUUUUGUUUGAAUUUGUGUUUUCUUUUGGCUCGUUAUUGUUGAAAUCUAAGAUCCUAGCAUCUGUUUGGAAGCAAGAAGAUGUAUCGAGGACUAGAAUCUUUGUCUCAAGUUAAUAUGUGGUUUGAUUGAACCAUAAAUUAAACUUGCUUGUGGUUUGAGUUUGUGUUUUUGUUAGGAAUUGAUAGAAUCUAAGAUCAUGUCAGCUGUUUGGAACUAGGAAGAUGGAUUGUGUUGACUAGAAUCUAAUUAUUUUAAGAUCUGUGAAUUGCACUUGGGGAGCAUUCACUCGGUUAAUGCAUAUGUUAUUCUUGAUCGCUUCCAGAUAACCGAGAUCAAAGACUUUGCGGGUCAAGAAAUCAAAGUAAAGCGGUUAGUGGAAGCGGAUUCAAAAAAGCACUGGACCGGCUCCUCCUCCUCGGUGGCACCUUCAGCGGUUGAUGCGGUUCUUGAGCAGAUAUAAAAGAAACGAAAGCCGAGAGAAAGAGAGAGACGCUAGUUUAGCUCUUCAGUCCAAGAGAAGACACGAUGAUGUCUGAAAUGUGACCGACUCUUUUAACGUUCUUCUGUAAGUAAUCUUGUUUUCUGGUCUGUUAAGAGAAGUGAUCUUUAGUAGACUAUGUAGAAUUUUCUCAAGUGAUUUGGUCACAUUCUUUGGCAGAGUCUAAACUGAGUCCCUGUUUUCUUGUUUGAUUCGGAUUUAUUUCUUAUGUGUCUCUCUCGAGAGAUUUCAAUAAACUGAGAUCAUCCUCAAUGAAAUGGGCUUGCAAUGCAACUUGCCCAACUUUUGAAAACAACAAUUCAUUUGCGACUGCAAUCUACAUUGUUCUUGUAAAUCGUUUGUUUUCUUAGUUUCUACCUAAUGAAGCUCAUAUGGUCUCUAUACAACAAAAAAUUAUUGUUUUGGUUGUAAAAUCUAAAACCUGAAGUAAAGCUUGAUUGAUUUGGUUUAUGGUUGCAGGUAGGCCUGGGAUAAAAAACCAACCCGAAUUUUCCGACCCGACCAAACCCGAAGAAACGCAAUUCGGCAUGCUUCGGGUAUGGGAGAUAUACCGAUCGGAAUAGAUGAAAUUAGGACUUCGGUUUUCUAUUCGGUCGGUUCGGUUCGGGUAUUCCGAUCGGUUACCGACGAAUACCGAAAAUUAAACCUAACUAUAAACCUAAAAUUACCCUAAUCUCUCGACAAACUUCACAUCUCACUCUCCCACCCGACGAUAGCCACUCUGUCUCACCAUGGUGAUUUGUUCUUCUUCUACAACAUCUAUGACUCUUCUUCAGCUUCUUCUUCUACAUCUUCUCUCUUCUCCUGUUUUCUUAUUCUCUCUUCUUCUUUAUUCUUCUUCCUUGUUCUUCUGUUAUCUUCUCCUUCUUCUUCCAUCUUCUUCCAUCCUCUUCAGAUCUUGGAGGAAAGAAUGAGACAUGAAGGAAUCUAGAUGCAAGACGAAGUGUGAUGGUAUAUAUUUUUUUCGUCGUUGCUCAGAUUCGCCGUAGCCGCCGUUCAACGUCAGUCGCUCAAAGUAUGAUAGUAACUGAAAACCCUAAUCGAUUUUUGGGUGCUGGGCUUGGGCUUAAGAAAUUUUUUUUAUAUUUGUGGGCUUGUAAACCCAAAAUAACUGGUUUUGGCUUUUGGGCCAGCAAAAUCUAAUAUAUAUAUAUAUUAAAGAAAAUCAGUUAUUUUCGGGUUUUAGCUCAAAACCGAAAUUAACCGAAAACCGAACCGACCGAACCGUAAUCUAUUUCGGUUACUUUCGGUAGAGUUUUCAAAUUCCGAAAUAACCGAAAAACCGAUUAAACCGAUCCGAACCGACCGAUUAACCGAACUCGCAGGCCUAGUUGCAGGGGAAAAAGUGGCUCUUUACAGAGUUGAUAGUCGUAAACAAGCAAGCCCGUGUUAGCUAGGUUUUUUCCAUUGUUGGAUUGUUUUGUAUCAAUGUUCUCAAUAUUUUUUAAGAAAUUUUCACGUAAAACAAUAUUUUGAGUUUUGUUCUCAUGUUUUGGCAAAGUGAGAUGAACCUCUCACAGAAUAGCCAAUUGAGCUAUUUCAGACCAAAUUGCCCUUAGAGAACAACUAUUCUUGUUUGAUUACGUUUCUUAACUCUUCUACAACUAAACUACAUGAAAGAAAAAAUGAUUAUAUAUAUAUAUAUAUAUAUAUAUAUAUUUACUUAAACAUAUAAAAACUUAGAAAAUCAGAAUUUAAAGAGAAAGAAAUGAAAUAAUCCGAGAACGAAGGCGAGCUGCUCUUUAUACUAAAAUUGAAGGAAAUUUUGUUUUAAAUCUGAAAUUUUGUAGUGAAAUAAUUGAUUUUGCUUCAUUAUCAAGUAGAGAGAUUAGAGUUAAAUAGAUUAAGAGAUUUUCGGCGAGUUGGAGAAAUGAUAAAAAUGGUGAAAAAGCAAGUGUUCUUCCGACGGAAUCGACUUAAUCACCGGACAAUUAAACAAAACUCAAACUCUUUAGUUUUUUGAACUUAAAAUAUGCUAGAUGUACAAUAUUUACAUGUAAAAACAUUCAAAACGUAUAAAGAAAACAAAAUUCUGAGAUAACUGUUAAAAAUAGCUGCAAAAUUAGGGAUGCAAAGGUUGAAGACGACUGCCAAAUUACAAUUAUACCCUUCAUUGAAUUUCUUCAGUGUACUUAUAUGCAAUUUACAAUGUACGUAUCAUUGAUUAUGUUGACAUGUAAAUAUGUUAGAUUAUCGUCUCUCCGAUUUGCAUCUUUGGCGAGUAGAACAUAAUGUCAAUUUACUUUCAUGCGAUCGAUUUUAGUACCCGAAUCACAAGUCUUGCAAAACAGUUUUCAAAGAUCUAUUUUUUUUUUUCAAAAUUUGCAGGGUAGAUGCGGAACGGAGUAUCGUCUCUCCUGCAAGUAGUAAUCUUAGUUGAAUCUUCGUUAAAAACUUGAUGCCCAACCUAAAUCUGGAUAAAUCGUUUUCAAAAUUUUGAUUUGAAGUACAUCUUUCGUAUGAUUAUAUCAUUUCAGAAUUCUCUUUAUUCUUCAAUAGCAAACCCAGAUUCUGCAAAAUUUUCAAGAAAUUGAUGUUUUGUACUAGGUCUGCUUUCUUCUUUAGUUUUUUUUGUUAACGUACGUAAUUUGCGACUUAGACAAAAAGUUGUAAACCAUUGUUAUAUAUUUUUUCCCUUUGAAUUUCUUCUAUGUAUGUGUACACAAAUUUCUGUGUACGCAAUAUUGAUUUUGUGGACGUGUACGUUUCUUAAAUUAUGUACCAUUGUUGAGGCUGUGUACGUGUAAUACUAACAAAUUUUUUAAUUAAAAAACUUGGUUAAUUUGACUAACAUUUCACAAUAUACUAUUGGUAUACAUAAACACAAAAAUGAAAUAUAAUAAAUCAAUAUAAUAAAAUCAAUCUUAAAACAUAGAAAUAUAUAUACAUAAAAUUUUGUAUUAAAUGGCAUGCAAAUAUAAUAUUCAUUUACCUAUCAUUUUCAUAUAUCACUACUCUAAUUAUGUUACACUAGAUUGUUGAUAAAGAAUAUGUAAUGUUUCAAACUGAACCCGUAAAUGUACACGGCAAUAUUGAGAUACACGUACACGCACAUGACCACACUAACCAGUUACUGUACUAAUAUCAUAAAAUGUCUUUUCUAUUGUACUAAUAUCUACUUCCGUCUCAUCAGUUGGACAUUGGCUAAGUCAUUGGAGACUAGAACAUCAUCAUUAUCGAGUAUCUCCGCCUCACUACUUAGCAAUGUAGAAAAGUCACUAUAUACUUCGGAAGACUCAUUCACGGUCACUAAUCUGAUUCAAGUUAAAUCCUCCUUCAUGAUCCUCCAAACAAAACUCCACACAAUUACCAUUCACUUCACUUCUACCAUGUCCAUUCGUGUACGUCAAAUAUUCACCUUCACAUACUUCUUCGUGUACACAGUCAGUAAAGUACAUACAUUCUUUCAAAUCAUGUCUUACCUCACGGUUAGGACUCAAAGAUGGAUAAAUAUUACUAUUCUCUCCAAAAUCAUCGAGGAUGCCCACCACGAAUCAAAAAGAAUGUAUCCAGGCUCAUUUGAUUGUCAAUGUAGACAUGCGGGCGUUUACUUUCUAUCAUCACUGACAUCUUUCCUGGCAUCCAGUAUCUAAUUACAGCAUUGCAUUCAGUGAACUUCAAACUGAAAACCUCACAUAAUGUACGUACAAAUUCCGUGUACGUCAUGUUUUCCUUAACACGUACACAUCGACCAAACCUGCCUUUCUCUGGUUCAAAUUUCUAUUCUUCUUAUUUGCAUCUUCACUCACCCACCAUAGUAAAUACGAGAAUAUCUAUUACCCACCUGCAUCAUAAAUUCAGCAGAAUCCCAUUAAAUGCAACUGAAAAUAUGAUUACAUCUACAAAAAACAAAAAGAAUUUCCAACUACACACUUUAUAAACAUAAAUGUAUCCUCAUUUAGCAUUUGCAACAAACAAAAAUGGAAAUAAAAAUUUUCUGGGUUUUUAUAUAAAAAACAAUGUUGAUUUUGUACACAAUCAAGAUCCUAGUGUGUUUUAACAAAAAACUUCUUAAACAAUUUCAUUACAUACACGAUCAAUGCUUUUCUUGUCUCCAAACUUUGUAAAUCAACAAAAUCAAAACUUCUCCAGCAUCACAGUCGUUCAUACAAAUUUGUUGUUUGUUGGUUCAUGUUUAUCUCUUACAAUUAUUCACACGUAUAAACAAAUAUUAGAAGAAGUAAUGAUGAGUUUGCAUUAAUUGUGACAAGAGUCAUGUCUAAACUUUUUUGGAAUUAAAUCCUAAUGUCACAUUAUAUUUUAAUGUUAUUAAGCCCCUUUUUGCACUGUAGAACCGCAAAAAACAUUUAAAACGAAAAUAUCUUCACCUAACCGGAACAGUGUACCUAACUGAACCGCAUAACUGAACCGUACACGGAACAGUAUGUCGUUACGCUGGCAGAGGUAAAAUGGUCAGAUUUUGGCUUAAUUGUCAAAACGUGAGAAGCAAAUCUCACUUUGCCAAACCGUAAAAAUUAAACAUGGUCUUCUGCCCUGGCCUGAUGAUAAUAGGUUUUCAAGAUCAAUUAAUCCUAAAACACUAUCGUGUCGUUGUAGUAUUUUAGGUUGUCAAUCCAAUCUAGUGUGAUGCAAACAGAUGAGAUAUGAUCAGAAUUUAUUAAGUCAAGCCAAGCAGAGAAUUGCGGUUUUCAAACAGUCCUAAUGCGAAAUAACAGAAAUGAAAUGAAACUGGAAUGCAAACUAGCAAUAGCAGGCAGUAGAAUAACAAAGCAGAUAAGAUAAUAGGCAAUCAAAUGGAUGAGAGAUUCCUAAGGACAGGGUAAUCGAAUAGCGUGGUCUCCUUAAUCUAUUUAGACGGUUGACAAAACUUCACAGAAGCUAUCCCUUGACAACAAGUUCAAAAGCAAAUCAAUUCACCACCGUGAUAGAAAUUCUCAAGCAUAGCUAGACACAGACCUAAUCACCAUUAGCGAUCUCUAACUAAGCAGGCAAUAUCGAAUCAACUUGUUAAAGCCAAUACCAGCUCUAAACGGCCAAUACCUUGGGAUAGAGACGAGUAUCUCUGGAAUUAGUGGAUCAGACAUUCCAUCAAACACCUUUUGGGUGCGGGAAUGUCUGGAUUCAUUUUCCAGUUGAUCAGAAAGGAACAAGCAAUAAGCGCAACUAAUCCAGAAGGGGUUCAAACAAUCUAAACUCAACCAUCUAAAGCGACUAAGGCAACCACGACUACUCUAUCCCAUCCUCAGAAAUACAAUUCACUACUCAGACAUAAUCAAAAACAAUAGCAAUGAAACGAUUGAAAACAUGAUAACAGGAAAUGAUAAAGACUGAAACGAAAACUGAAUUAUAAAAUACUUGAAAGCGAAUACAAAGUCGCAGGAAGAACACACUGCGACUACGAAAACAAGUCUAGGUAAAAACUGAAAAUAAAGACUGGAUGCCCUAGGGAAAACCCUUAGAGGCUGCUUAUAUAAGCGAGAAAAGUUAAAUAAGGAAAGUUCGAGAUAGUGGUCUUCACAUCGAGACCCCUGCGAUCGAGCAUCUGAUGGGCUGAAAUGGGCCUCCCUGUGAUCGAGUGAAACUGAUCAAACUGGGCUUCAGGAACUCCGUCUUGCGAUCGAGUGUUCUGUAGUGAAGAUGAGAUGGAAUGGUCCAGCAACCCUGCGAUCGAGUGGUGCGAUCGAUUAGAUGACGUGAGGUGGUGAUCGAGUGGUUUCUUCAGCUUCUCUUCUCUUCCGUAUGCUCAGCUUGUCUGGUUGAAUGAAGAAUGAGUAGAUGGGCUUCUGAUGACAAGGUGGUGAUCGAGUGGAACUAAGCUGCUGGCUUCUCCGGGGUUGUGAUCGAGUGAUAUGUCCUCCAUGACAGCUUCUGCUCGAUCUUGCGAUCGAGUGAUUUCUUCUGAAAUUGCCCCGGGUUAUGAUCGAGUGGUUUUGCCCUUCAUGACAGUUUCUGGGGUUGCGAUCGAGUGCUUUGCUCUGUCAGGGGUCCGAGGUUGCGAUCGAGUGCUUUGGCUGAAGGAGUGAUUGAGCGUUCUGAAUUUCUGUUCUGUUUCUCCUCUUUUUGAACUCCAAAAGCAUCCAAAGUACCUGAAAACAACCCAAUAUGCAAUGCACAUGCAAUUCUAAUGCAAAACCGUCCUAAGUAUGCAAAACACACUAAAACGACUACUGAUGAGAUGAAAUGUGAUUGAAAAAAUGACAAAGUGAUGAAGAAUGAAUGCUUAAAUCAUGCAAAUUAUAGACAUAUCAACUCCCCCAAACUUAGUCUUUGCUUGCCCUCAAGCAAACAAGAAAACAUAAGCGGGAGGAGAGGUUUGAAGUUGGGGACUCAGAACCAAAACAUGUGAUGAAGUGAUUAAGCUCAAUGUUCAAGUUAAUAGUUCUAAGAUGCGAGGUGAACGACUUCUACUUAAAAACUUUAGCCAUGCUCUGUUAUGAUCCAAACCCACACUCAAUUGCAUAAUGCGUCAAAAUCAACCAAUCCCUUUAACAUUCAUUAAGUUCAAAAACAUGAAUCAAGCUGUGCAACGUUAGUGAACUCGUUUGGCUAAGGACAGGUUAUGAGACAAAGAUGGUCCCUUUAAGGUAGAUCAGAUUUUAAUAACAGGGGACUCUCAAUAAGAAUAGACUGAGCUUUAGAAGAAUGCUAAAGGUAAGUGCCAACCUAUGCAUACAAGAAUAGCACCCCAUCUACCCAAUGACAUAAACCGUGAAUAACAAGUAGAUGGUCCUAUUUCUAAACCCAUUGAUGAUCCUAAGUCUACCCUUUUGCACUAAAGGCAUGUUUCGAUUUUUUUCUUGGAUCAAUCUGUCUUUUCUUUUCUUUGGCUCUUGUUCUUAAGGAGAAACUUUCUUAUACUCUAUGAGUCUAGUCUAGUGAAUUGGUUUUUCUUAAACUCUUAUGGCUCUUAUAAUCUUUUCUGUUUUUGUUGCCAUCUUUUUUUUUUAGAGCAUAACUUAACAAUUCCUGUACUUCCCAAACAUUCACUAGACUUGAAUAUGAUUUUCAGCUUCCUUCUCCUAAAGACUCUAACCCGUUUUUUUUUCUUUUUCUUUUUCUUUUCACACUCAAUCUCAAUCCCCAAAUAAGUUCCCACCUAGUCCUACCAAGUCCGAAAACGCGGAUUGGAACUACAUGAGAUACUACUCUUGUCGGCUCAAACCUAACACGUUCUACCAAGCUCAAUCCUGAAAUAGGCCUCACAGGCUCUCAUAAAUAAGAUGGCUUGAAAGAAGGGUUGGUUAAGGGUGGGGAAACUACUCCAAUAACAGAAGCAGCUACUUGGAUUAACAAGAGUGGUGAAUAAGUGAAAGAAAAUCCAAGUAUGUAUUCUAUCCACGAGUUCAAAACCGAUCCAAACAUGAUAAUUAUAAGUCAGAUUCAAGUUCAAAUUGACAGGGAAAGGUGUCAUGACAUGCGAUCGAGUGGUUUCUAUAGAACAUGGUGCGGUUUUACUUCAAAGUCAUUCAAAUGCAUCGGACACCUAGUAACGAGGGAAUUGAGUUUAUUCAGUAAAUCAACAUGCUUACAUGGUUAUUUCCUCAUUAUCCCCUAUGCAUAUGCAACAAUCCUAAAUGAAACACUCUAGACUCGAUCCUAAAUGCAAUGCAACUACAUGAACACUCUGUUUUUGUGGAAUACAUUUUCAGAAAUUUUCAAAAUUUUUUUUUUUUUUUUAUUGUUUUUUCUAUGUUUUAGAUGAUAUGCAGACUCAAAUGAUAUUCACAAAAAACAAGUUAAAUACGUCUUGAACCCUCCCCCAAACUUAAAUUACACAGUCCCUUGUGUAAUAAAAAUUUGUGAAAGAAUUCAAGAUGAACACAAGAAACAAAAACAAAAGCGGUAUUUACAAUUGUGUUUUGGCGUGUUACCUCAGGAAAAUUGCCUGGAGAUGUAGUCAUCCAUCUCCGCUUGAGUGUAAUUCGUGGGCAUGACAGGUUCUAGCUGCGCUUCCGCCAUCUCCUCAUCAUUGUGCUCAAUUGCAACCCCAGCAAGUUGUGGAGCUCGGCGAUCAUGCGAUCUCCUUCUUGACAUUACUCGCCCUUUGCUUGAUGAACGGACUAUCUUCGCAUUCUUCCUCCUCUUGUGUUCUCUGAUCUCGUGAGACGAGUGCCUUGCGGGUUCUUGCGGAGCAGCGCGUUCUCUCUGAUGAUAGGCGGAUUGCCUUGGCGGGGCUAUGUCAUGGCGCCUGGAUGGCAUGUCUUCGGGCGGGUUGUCUCUUGCGAAGACAGUAGUCGAUGAUGUGCAGCUGAGGGCCUUGAUACACUUUUUGAUGAUCUUGUCCUGAAACUUGCAUUAUUUCUGAACUAGACUAAGCUUCCGGUGUGAUUCAGCGAGACUCUUACUUUCUCUUGAAGGAGGCUUGUGUUCUUUGAAGUGAAACCUGUUUAUGUCAUAGUUCUCCCAACUAAUCUUUUAUUGUCGCUCUGUUCUUCUACUUCUUCAGCAACGUUUCUGGAUGAAGAGCCUCCAAUCAAAGCAUGGAGGGUUUCGAUGGGUGGCGAGAAGUCAAUGUUGUCUCUCACCGUGAUGGUCGUCAUUUCGCAGAACGGAAUGAGGAAUUGUGUAUCUCCUACCGCCGGAUGGUCAAACUUGUAGGCGUAUCUCUCAUCGUGCAUUUGGUGCUCGAUCACAUGGGCAAGCUUUAGAUGGGCAAUGUCCAUCCACCUUGGUUCAGUAGGAGCCGAUGUCAAAGGGACUUCACAAAAUUGGAGAAUUGGUGUCACCACCCCUCCAACGCAAAGAGCUCCUUUUACUCUCUUCUUGCUAUUGGAUAAAGCCCACCCUCUGUAGCUGCAUAGGUGGUUGAGAAAAUACAUGGACGGAGGUGUGUCGCUUGUAUCGCCUCUCAUCGUCACGCCGUUCUUUGUGUAACGGAGUAAACUCUUCAACGCCAAGUCCAGCGUCUCCAUGUCUGGGUUGGUUAAGGUAGCGGAUACACUUCUAGCAUAAAGGACAUUGGCCAGGGCACGUUGGAAGUAGCGGAUAGCCGGGUUACGGAUAGAAUUGCUCUUAGACCUGGCAGAACUGAAAGUGGUGUCAUCUCCGAUUGUGUUCCACAACGCCUUAAUCUCAUCUCGUAGGAACUUUGGUUUCGUUCCCGUGCCACUAGGAAACUCGAACAUGUCUUCCAACAUUUUGAUGGUCAUGACGUAGUUGCGGCCGUUAAUGGUGAAACUCAAGUAUCCCAAUCCUUCUUCUCUCAAUUCUGCAGCUGACAGCCCUUCAAACAACUCCACUUGAACCGUCGAAAGGAAUUGAAUGGUCUCUUCCUCAUAAGCAGGGUAAGGACGAGACAUUAGUGUUGCCAUGUGACACUUCUCGAACAGCAGCUCAACGUCCUCCAGAAUUCCAAGAUCCGCCAUGGUCUCCGGAUGGGGAUACCUUGUUCCCCAAAAAAGGUUUCCCUUGAAGAGGUUGUAGUAAUCCUCAGGAGUGAGAUUAUCCUCUUUCAUCUACGACUUGGUGGUCUUGCGGACUGGUUCUGGAGCGUACUCUGCAUCACCCUCCAUGUCUUCAUCAACGAGUUCAUACCGCUCCGUCAUUGGCCGCUUCCCUCUUGCGAUUUCUCUUAGUCUUCGGUCUUCAGCAAUAGCUUGUUCUGUUUCCUCUGCGAAUCGCUGAUACUCUUCUGCUUCCCUUUCUGGUCUACUUGACCAAGAUUCAGCUUCUUCAGCAUUGAAGUCAGCAUCCAUGGAUGAUUGGUAGAUGUGUGCACUCAUCUUGAAGCUGAAAUUGAUUUGAAACUCACAACUAAAGCUUAGUAGGUUAGUGAGAGACAAACAAAGGGAAUGAGAGAAGUGACUUCCUGUUGUCAGGCUGUUGCGAUCGAGUGGUUAUGUGAGUGACGGGUCUGAACGCGUGGUCGAGUGACUUUUGAUGGAGAUGUGAUUGAGUGCUUUGAUGGUCUAGGUUGCUCGAGUUGCGAUCUAGCGAUUUUAACGCUCUGUUCUAAAGAAUAACACUUGAAGCAAAUGAAGAAUUGAGAGCGUUUUUGGUGAUGAAGUAGAGAGAUAAAUUAGAGAGAUGUUUUGAAAUCGCAAGUGAUGAAGAAAAGUGAAGAGUAGUGAUACUUAUCUCACUUUGGCGAUUUGAAUGUGUGGAGGAGGUGUGUUGCCUUUAAAUGGACGGAUAGGAUGGAAUGACCCUUUAUGAUGUCGGCAGGAUGGGUCUGCUUUAACCUACGCGCCUUGUGAAUGAGUAUGGGCCAUUAAUCCUUCACUUGUGUGUCAUGGGCUACAGGGGGACACAACUUGGGCCUUUUUGGAGUGUUGGUGGAGAUUUAAGUCCAGUGGACUUCAUGGAUGCAUGGGUUGUCAUUGAAGUUCUCGUCGGACACUUUCACCUACCCUUGCGAUCGAGUGAAACGGGUUAGCCAAAUAAAUGACCACUCGAUUUCACCAAGUGUGUGUUGCGAUCGAGUGGUUUAAAAACAUUGUUGAAAAGGAUGUGAUCCAAAACCGCUAGAUUGCAUGCCCGCGCUCCCCAUUCCUAUGUUGCGAUUGAGUGGUUUAGUAAAAAUUGAAACAAUUUUUAUUUCAAUACUCAAUCGCACACUUGUUUAUUACUCCAGAUGCUACUUAUUCCCUGAGAACCAAAGACACAACUAAAACACAUCAAAAAUACCUAAAAAAAAUAAAAAGUAUAUACAAGGAUAAGCUUGUUUAGAGUCCCUACCUUGACUCCUCACACUUAUUAGGCUGAAAAAAUGUGACAGAGAGAACUUGAGAAGUCCUCUUCUUUACUGAUCUCAUCGUCAUACUCAGCAUUCUCCCUUGAUAGUUGUGCAGCUGAGUACCCAAUUCUCCUUUCCUCAAAGUAAGCUGCUUCCUUUUCUGGUGGAUAGUAUUUUUCUUUCGACCAUCCCGAAGUAACUUUCCCUCUUGAAGUAAUGUCAGUGUUGAUCUGAGAUUGAACUCCCCUUUGAAUAUGACUUAGUGUGUCACUAAGCUUUUCAACAGUGUGGGUCAGCUUCUCAAUGGUUCUUUCUUGGAGAUCAGACUUCCUUUUGAGCUCUCGCCACUCAAGCGCUGAAGGUAUACUCGAUCGAGCGAUUGAGUUUGAAGGUUUAGUCUGGACUAGAAUUGGUUCCUUCACUUUUGCAGCCUCAAAUCCUUCUCCUGGAACCGCUCUCUGAAUCUCCAAGGCCUUUCCCUCUGUUGUUGACCUUGUUGGAGUUUUGUUGAUGUCAAACUGCAACUUGACGUGCCUCCCAAGGUUGAGAUCAAUCUUACCAUAUAUGACAUCUAUUAUUGCUCCCACUGAGGCCAAGAAAGGUCUUCCUAAGAUCAGAGGAUCCUUAGAUUCUUCAUCCAUGUCAAGAACAACAAAAUCAGUAGGCACCUCUACUCCAUUAAUCAUUACUGGCACAUCUUCCAGUAGGCUAAAAGUUCUCCUUGUAGUCCUAUCAGCAAGAAUCAAGGUGAUGUCACAAGGUCUAUACUGGACGAAUUCCAACUUCCUUGCCACAGAGAGUGGCAUUAGGCUGACUGAAGCUCCUAGAUCACAUAGACAAUUGCUGAAAGUCGAUUGCCUGAUGGAACAUGGCAGAGUGAAAGAUCCAGGAUCUUCCAACUUUUCUUGAAUAAUCCUCUCAUCAGCGGCCUGAAUCGGAUUGGUAUCAUAUUCAUCACCUGAAUCUUGAUACAUGUUGAGCCUUUCCAGUAUCAAAUUUCUCACAUCUUUGUGAGGGUCCGGAAUCAGCUUGAGAACUUCAAUUAAUGGCAUCACUACUUCCAUCUCGUCAAGCUGUUUCUCUACAAGAGAUUCAUAGUUGUCUUUCCAAGUUUUCCUGAACUUCCAUGGGAGAGCAAGUGAAGGUGAUGGAGUUGGCUUGAAUCGUUUUACCAUCCUCUCAAUUAUAGCAGCUUUCUCAUCCAAGGCAGACUGAGUUUGAUGGCGAGGCUGAGCUGAAUGAUUGAGUUGAACAACUGAGACUUCAAUGCGUCUAGAAGUCUCCUCUUCCUGAACUUCACUGUCCGCAGUGAUUGAGUGUUGGUCAUGUCGAGUAGGUUUCUUCAUAGUAUCAUUAAUGUCAAACUCCAUCUUGAAAUCUUUUCCAAGAUUAAGAUCAAUCUUCCCCUUCUUGACAUCUAUGAGUGCUCCGGCUGUAGCUAAGAAGGGCCUCCCUAAGAUUAAAGGAUUUGUUGGAUCUUCAUCCAUUUCUAGCACUAUGAAGUUUGUGGGGACUUCAACAUUUCCAAUCUUAAUAAGCAAAUCUUCUAAUAACCCAUGAGGUUGUCUAACAGACCCAUCAGCCAGGAUCAAGGUGUUGUUAAAAGAUUUGUACUCGCUGAAACCUAGUCUCUUAGCCACAGAGAGAGGCAUGAGACUUAUAAAACCACCUAGAUCAAAUAGGCAGUUACUGAAGGCUAAAGGACCUAUAGAGCAAGGUAAGGUAAACGAACCAGGAUCUCCCAAUUUUGUGGGAGGUGGCACAAAGACUGUAUCCUUGGUCUUUGCAGCAGCUGGUUUUUCAACAGUGGGAGCGACUGGUGAAGCUGGUGGGUGAGUAGACUGCUUGUCAAGUAUGGGCUCCUCUAGUGUUUGGUCAGCUAUAACAUCAUCUUGACAGAAAUCCUCCCCCUCUUGAACCACACUGCCCUUAGUGAUUAAGUUAAGGGCAUGUCGAGUUGGCAGCUCUCGAUCAUGGCAGAUAGUGAUAGCAUAAGCAGUGGCAUACUCCUUUGGGUUCUGGAUUGCUUUCCCUGGAAGUUGGCCUGGGUUGUUGGAAAUGGAUGUUGAAAUAGGAUUGCCUUCCAGAUAGCGCAGUCUAGUACUCAAUGAUUCAAUCUUGCUGUUAAGGUCAUUGAAAUUGCAGUCGACUUUGUUGUUUAAUUCAGCCAGCUUCUUUGCAAUUUCCAUCGCUCCUGUGCCUUGUCCUUGAAGUAUCUGCUGGACUAAGUUCUUCAUAUCAGAAUCUUGAGGCGAUGGUGCUUGAUGUUGCUGUGAUGGGAAACCAGGUGGUGGUUGCUGUUGUUGAUAUCCUCCCUGGAACUGCUGCUUUGGAACGAACCCUUGACCUUGGUUGUAUGGAACAAACGGUUUAGGUUGUUGUUGUUGCUGCUGCUGAGAAGGAUAAACUUGGUCUUGAGGGUUGGCAACGUUGGUGCUUUUGUAUGACAGAUUCGGGUUUGGUCUGUAGUUGUUGUAACCCUUGUUGUAGCCACCUUGGUUCUGAAUGUAACUGAUUUCAGCAGACUGAUCAUUCUCCCCCUCUUGGACUUGGAAUAGUUCAUCUUCAGAGACGAAGUGAGCUUGCGUCUGUUGCACUUGCAGGAGCUUGUCUAGUUUGUCAUUGAGAGCUUUCAUCUCUUUGCGUUGCUUGUCAUCAGUGUCAGGACUGGUGCAGAUGCUUCUGUCAUAAUCCUUGUUGUAAUUGCCAUCCGACUUAGCUAAGUUUUCAACAAGCUCCCAUCCUUCACCAACGUCUUUGUUGAGGAAGUUCCCAUUGGAAGCGGUAUCAAGCAGCAUCCUUAUCUUGGGAAGGACGCCUCUGUAGAGUGUGCUGAGAAGAGAAGCUUUUCCAAAGACAUGAUGAGGGCAUUUGGUCUGAUAACCUUUGAAGUGUUCCCAUGCUUCACAGAAGGUUUCAGCAUUCUUCUGAGUGAAUCUGGAUAUCUCAUUCCGGAGUCUUGCUGUUCUGGGAGAAGAAUUUAGCCAAGAAGGCUUUUUUGCAGUCAUCCCAGGUCGUGAUUGAACCCUGGGGUAGCGUCUUUUCCCACAUAUGGGCUUUGUCUCCAAGUGAGAAUGGAAACAAGCGAAGCUUGAAACCAUCUUCACUUACUCCAUUGAUUUUAGUAAGGCCACAGAGCCUUUCAAACUCGUCAAGAUGAUCAAGCGGAUCCUCCAUUGGCAAGCCGUGAAACUUGUUCCCCUGAACCAUUGCAAUGAGACCGCUCUUGAUCUCAAAGUUGUUGUUCUGGACUGGUGGAGGAACAAUUCCAUGACGCUGGUUGUGAUUGUGUGGGAAGUCACCAGCACCAAUGUUGUUGGGUUGGUCUUGGUCAUCUACAAUGUCAGCCAUUGUGUAUGUUGCUGUCUGUUCUCUUAGUUGGCGAGCGAUACGGUCGAUGUUAUCGUUGAAAAGGAGAUUCUGAUUUCCUCUUGACCGUGUAUGCAUAUAACAGGUAACAGCAAGGCUUUAGCAGACCAUUCAGAGAUGAGUCUGUAAAGCUGGUUGCUAUGAGUACCUGAAACACAGACAGAAAAACACAAUGUCAGUAUCUUGUGUAACAAAAACGAACUUGAUCUUAACGAUUCUAAUGAUCUCAAAUAUAGCAAACAAACACUAAACUGGCAACGGCACCAAAUUGAUAAUAGGUUUUCAAGAUCAAUUAAUCCUAAAACACUAUCGUGUCGUUGUAGUAUUUUAGGUUGUCAAUCCAAUCUAGUGUGAUGCAAACAGAUGAGAUAUGAUCAGAAUUUAUUAAGUCAAGCCAAGCAGAGAAUUGCGGUUUUCAAACAGUCCUAAUGCGAAAUAACAGAAAUGAAAUGAAACUGGAAUGCAAACUAGCAAUAGCAGGCAGUAGAAUAACAAAGCAGGUAAGAUAACAGGCAAUCAAAUGGAUGAGAGAUUCCUAAGGACAGGGUAAUCGAAUAGCGUGGUCUCCUUAAUCUAUUUAGACGGUUGACAAAACUUCACAGAAGCUAUCCCUUGACAACAAGUUCAAAAGCAAAUCAAUUCACCACCGUGAUAGAAAUUCUCAAGCAUAGCUAGACACAGACCUAAUCACCAUUAGCGAUCUCUAACUAAGCAGGCAAUAUCGAAUCAACUUGUUAAAGCCAAUAUCCGCUCUAAACGGCCAAUACCUUGGGAUAGAGACGAGUAUCUCUGGAAUUAGUGGAUCAGACAUUCCAUCAAACACUUUUUGGGUGCGGGAAUGUCUAGAUUCAUUUUCCAGUUGAUCAGAAAGGAGCAAGCAAUAAGCGCAACUAAUCCAGAAGGGAUUCAAACAAUCUAAACUCAACCAUCUAAAGCGACUAAGGCAACCACGACUACUCUAUCCCAUCCUCAGAAACACAAUUCACUACUCAGACAUAAUCAAAAACAAUAGCAAUGAAACGAUUGAAAACAUGAUAACAGGAAAUGAUAAAGACUGAAACGAAAACUGAAUUAUAAAAUACUUGAAAGCGAAUACAAAGUCGCAGGAAGAACACACUGCGGCUACGAAAACAAGUCUAGGUAAAAACUGAAAAUAAAGACUGGAUGCCCUAUGGAAAACCCUUAGAGGCUGCUUAUAUAAGCGAGAAAAGUUAAAUAAGGAAAGUUCGAGAUAGUGGUCUUCACAUCGAGACCCUGCGAUCGAGCAUCUAAUGGGCUGAAAUGGGCCUCCCUGUGAUCGAGUGAAACUGAUCAAACUGGGCUUCGGGAACUCCGUCUUACGAUCGAGUGGUCUGUAGUGAAGAUGAGAUGGAAUGGUCCAGCGACCCUGCGAUCGAGUGGUGCGAUCGAGUAGAUGACGUGAGGUGGUGAUCGAGUAGUUUCUUCAGCUUCUCUUCUCUUCUGUAUGCUCAGCUUGUCUGGUUGAGUGAAGAAUGAGUAGAUGGGCUUCUGAUGACAAGGUGGUGAUCGAGUGGAACUAAGCUGCUGGCUUCUCCAUGGUUGUGAUCGAGUGAUAUGUCCUCCAUGAUAGCUUCUGCUCGAUCUUGCGAUCGAGUGGUUUCUUCUGAAAUUGCUCCGGGUUUUGAUCGAGUGGUUUUGCCCUUCAUGACAGUUUCUGGGGUUGCGAUCGAGUGCUUUGCUCUGUCAGGGCUCCGAGGUUGCGAUCAAGUGCUUUUGCUGAAGGAGUGAUUGAGCGUUCUGAAUUUCUGUUCUGUUUCUCCUCUGUUUGAACUCCAAAAGCAUCCAAAGUACCUGAAAACAACCCAAUAUGCAAUGCACAUGCAAUUCUAAUGCAAAACCGUCCUAAGUAUGCAAAACACACUAAAACGACUACUGAUGAGAUGAAAUGUGAUUGAAAAAAUGACAAAGUGAUGAAGAAUGAAUGCUUAAAUCAUGCAAAUUAUAGACAUAUCACCUGCAAUUUACCCUAUUUUUUUACUAGAUGAUGAAGAUAACUUUUAUGUUGUAAAUAUAUUUAAAUUGUAACUUAAUUAUUUUUGGAAAAAUAUAAAUGCAUAAGUAUAUAAGUAAAAAUGUGAUAACACAUGUCAUUGAGUGUAUAUUUAUAGCGUAACUAUUGAAUAUUUUAUAGACCAACUAUUUUAAGAUAAUGAAACUAAUAGAAUUUAAUCAUAAAUUAGAUAAAAAUAAAUAAAUUAAACAAAAAUUUUAAAACAAAACUAGUAAUAUAAACUAAAACAAUUCGUAGUAUCUUUGUAAAAAUGUGUUGUAGAUUGUGGUUGUGUUUGUAAUUUUACUUUUUAGUGGGUGAUUGGUUCGUCUGUAACUGUAGAUUUAUUGAUGUAGAAUUUUUGCUGUAUGUGUGAUGACUGUAGCUGUAAGUUUAAUGCUGUAGAAAUUAGCUUGUAGGUUUUAUUAAUAUAAUACUAUUAUUUAAAUAAAUUGGUUGUAGAAAUAAGAUUUUGGUUGUAUUAUUUUUAAACAAAAAAUAUGAUUGGUAAAUAAUACUUAUGUGUUAUAUAAUAUUGUUCACAAAUAUAUUAAAAAAAACAAAAACAAUGUGAGUUAUAUAUAUUUUUUGCCCAAAAAAAAGUUAUAUAUAUGUCAUAAAGUAUAUGUUUACCUACUAUUUAUAUCCAUAAAAUAAAUUUUCAUAAUAUAUUUAUGGACGAAAACUAUAAUAAUGCUUUUAAAGAAAAAAAGAAAAUAAAGUGGAAAGAAGAACAAAAAAGGUACAGCCCUUCUAAAGACCAAAAAGUUGUGCUUUAGAAAAACUUGUACUUACAGCCAAAAUAAUUAAAAAGAUAUUGUUUGGACUGUGAGAAAUAGGAAAGCUAAAGCAUGAUUGUUUUAAUUUUGGGGCUGUAGCUUUUUUAGUGACUUUAUAAAUCUCUUACAGCCCAACCAAUCAUGCCCUAAAAACACUAAAAUAUAAAUAAAUGUAGGAUUAACGGAAAAUUUUCUGAUGGCAUAUCAUAUGUGAUCAAGUACAUAACAACGGUUUUAUUCAAACAUAAUUCUUUUUAAUAUAUAGUAGAUAAAUUUUUAUUUGGUGGUUUUAUUUAAUUUUCAAAUUUUUUAUUUUGGUUUGUUUUCAUAAGUCUUAAAAAAUUACAUUAUAGUGUUGCAUGUAAUCUAUAAUGUUUUGAAAUUUUUUCCUUAUAAUAUAUAUAUAUAUAUAUAUAUAUAUAUAUAUAUAUAUAUAUAUAUAUAUACUUGAUUAGGAUCCGUCCGAUGGAAGAGUUUUUUAUUUUUAAAUUUAAAUUUAAAUCUAAAAAAUAUUUAAUAAAAAAUGUAGAAGUUUAAACAUCAAUUAUAUAUUGAGAAAAAAAUAGUAUAGUUUAUGUACAUGUAAUAUAGCGAUGUUCCCAUGGAAAUUUUGUACAUUUGGAAAGCAAUGAAUGAUAAAAUUUAUGAAAAUAUUGAUUUAAAUCAAUUGGAGGUCCUGCGUUUAGCAGAGAAUGAGGCACAUGUGUGGUAGUUAGCACAAAUUGAGCUUAACACGGAAAAUCAGUGUUCUUCGGAAAUAGAUAAUUGUAUUCGGGGAGUAGCUGUUUCAAAUGUGUCAAUCAAUUCCAGUUUUCGAUACUACGUAGAUGGUUCGUGGAAAGGGACAGGCGCAGGGUGGUAUGGUUCGUCAGCUACGGGAUAGACGACAACAAUGGGAGCCGCCAACUUCCGAAGGAGCCUAACUCCACUACAUACCAAAGUGGAAGCAUUUGUCUGGGCAAUGAGGUGCAUGAUUAGUGCCGACAACGAAGACGUAUCGUUUUUUACAGACUGCUCUGAUUUGGUGAAGAUGAUGUCAUCUCCGACUAAAUGGCCAGCUUUCUCAGCGUACCUGGAGGAGAUUCAUAUCGACAAGGAAUAAUUUUCUAAUUUUCUAAUUUCUCUUUAUUUUUAGAAUCUAGUAGUGAAAAUGUUAAAGCAGAUAAUUUAGCACAAAUAGUUUGUAUCGAACCGCAUCAUAUUACAUAUGUAAACAACAUUCCACAUGAAUGACUUUAUCGAGCACUAUUAAUUUAAGUUGUUGACAAAAAAAAAAAAAUAUAUAUAUAUAUAUAUAUAUAUAGCGAUGUUUUUCUCACACAUGUCAAUUUUCGGCGAAUAAAUCGUGAAGUGAUCAUCACCAUAAAAUCUGAUGGUCGCAAUUCAAACCCAUGUAAUCGAAUUUUGUUUCUAAGAUAGAAACUGACAGAAAAUAAAUUAUUAUAAAUAAAUUAGAUGCUUACAUGAUAUAUUAAAUUUAUCUUUUUGUAACAUGAUAGAUUAAUUAAUUUAAAGAUAAGAAACCCGACACAUUUACGGAUUUUUUAAGUUUCAUUUAUUACAUAGAAACCCGAAAAAUCCAUCGCAGAAGCGGUUAUCAGGAGGCGUGUAGAAUUUCAUAUCAGCAAAUUUGUUUUGGUUGCAGAACUUUUUGCAAGCAUUCUCACAUAAAGGAAGAGUUGCCUUUUUAGAAACUUUCAUACACUGAUUUGGGACACAAUGCUUAACACACAUUUCUACCGUACUCGCACAUGUUGAAACCAUCAUCGUAAAUAAAACUACAAUCAUCAAAACACUGUAUAUCUUUUUCAUUGUGUGAGUCGCCAUUAUUUGAAAAUAUGAGUUUAUGAGUGUUUGAGCUAAUUAAAAUUUUGUUUAGAUUAUAUAGGAAAAAAAGAAUUAUUAAGAUAAUUAGUGUUGAGUUGGCUUUAUGUAGUUUUGUUCUUUAUAUAGCAAAAGUAUUUUUAUCCUCUUAAAAUUGUUGAUUUUGGAAGUAUAUCCUUUUGUUUUCUUUUUUUGGUUAUAACUUAUAACCAAACGGUUAUUUUUGUUAUAUUUUCUUCUUAAUUAAAAAGUUAGUUUUUUGUUUAUGUUAUUGGCUGUCCAAACAAUCUCGUAAUGUUAAAUUGUCAUUCACCAAAAGGUUUGCCAAAUAUUCACCAUUAUCAAUAAUAUUGUCAAUUUUUUUAAAAUCUUAAUUCAAAAACUAUCCCCUAAAACAUGAUUAUAAACUAUACAUUUUUCGUAUUGAUGGGUCGAAAUAUUUAACCAUUUAACUUAUAAACCAAAAUAAAUUUACAGGUUGAUUUGAUCUAUUUAAAUUUGAUAGAUUCAUGGUUUACCUAAAUAAUUUAGAUAAUCUAUCAUGUAACACUCAACUAAUUAAGAUAAUAGAUGGGUACCCAUAAUAGAUUUGAUUGGGGUAUACUCAAUUUAGAAACGCGUGAAAAAAUAAUUGAACACAAAAUAAUAUAAAUUAUAUAAAUUUAAAAUUUUAUCGAAAAUCAAAUAAUAAUAUUUAACUAAUUAUAGAAAAAAUGGAAAGUAACUUCAAAAAUUUUCUAUUCAGUUUUUGUUUUACAAUAUUUUAUUUGGUGUUCAAAAAAUUAUUUUUUUAGCUAAUAAUAUUUAACUAAUUGUAGAAAAAAAAAUUACAAUUUUUUUGUCACGCUCUAGUGAGAAUGUUAAGACUUUAUGUAAUAACAUUAUCAAAUUUUGUAUAUUUUUUUCCAAUACAAUAAAGAUUUUUUACUUCUUUUUUUUUAAUAUAUUAACAACAACAAAAUUAAUAGAAUGAGGUUAAUAGUUUAAUAUAUUAACACUUUUUAUAUAAUAAGAAAUUUUUAUUUAUUUUUGAAUAUAUUAACAAAAACAAAUUUUAAUAGAAUUAGGUUAAUAGUUUAAUAUAUUAAUUAAAAAGUAGAACAUGCAAACAAUUUUUUCCUUACUUAUUAUAUAAUUUCCCUUUUUCGUUAGGAUUAAGAACUUUUUUUUUUGAUGAUGUUAAAUUUAUAGAUCAAAAUGAAAAGUUAUAUACAGAGACCAAAAAAAAGAAGCUAAAACCAUACAAGAAAAGUUAUCGAAUUCCCCUAGCUUGAAACCAUCUUUGGAGAAGGUUUCUCAGACCUAGAGAGUCUUGGUAACGUAAUAACACCGCUCGCUGUCGAGGUUAAGAACUUUUCUAUUUCUAUUUUAAAUAUAUUAACAAAUUAAAAUUUGAUACGUGAUAACAUCUUAUGUUUUACUUGACACGUGUCACGAUCACGUGAGUUAACAACUUUGAAAACUCAACUUUAUAUAAUACGAAAUUACGAUAAUUUUUGUUAUGUGGAUAAUAAAUUAUGUGUUAAUUUAAAAUUUUAAAAGUUAGAUAUAGUUUUAGUUCGUAUACUUUUGUUUUUGAGGAGAGGGAGUAAUAGUUAUAUAGACUAUAGAGAUGCAUUGUCUCUUGACUCUUGUUAACAAUAAAACGCCACGUGGCAGCAUAAUUAAAAUCUGUUUGCACAAAAAUGUGGUUGGCCUUAGCCUUGGCCCUGGAAUAAAAACAUUAUCCAGAAAAUCUAACAUUUCCACCAAUCCUUCACUUCCUUUCACGAUCCCAAACCAACACAAGAAAAUGCAACAAAAUCUUCUCCAUCUCUGAACUCAAAAACUCAUUCUCUAAAAAAAAAAUGGAGACCCUUCUCUCCCCUCGUGCUCUCUCUCCUCCUCUCAACUCCAAACCCACUUCCACUCACCAGACCAAACCCACUUCACAUUCCUUGUCUCUCUCAAAACCCACAACCUUCUCCGGUCCUAAACACCUCUCCACCCGGUUCACUAAACCGGAAUCAAGAAACUGGUUAACAGAUGCAAAGCAAGGACUAGCUGCUUUAGCUUUAUCUCUAACUCUCAGUUUCUCACCUAUUGGCACUGCUUUAGCUUCUGAGUUCAAUAUCCUCAACGAUGGUCCACCAAAAGACACUUACGUAGUCGACGAUGCUGGUGUUCUAAGUCGAGUGACGAAGUCAGAUCUUAAGAAGCUUUUGUCUGAUCUUGAAUACAGAAAGAAACUGAGACUCAAUUUCAUUACUGUCCGAAAGCUCACUGUGAGUUUUCUAGAUUUUCUUAUAAAAUUGAAUUUUCUUUUGUUAAACCGGAAGUUGAACCGGAACCGGUUUGGUUUAAUUUGGCAGAGUAAAGCAGAUGCGUUUGAGUAUGCAGACCAAGUUUUGGAGAAAUGGUACCCUUCAAUUGAAGAAGGUAACAAUAAAGGUAUUGUUGUUUUGAUCACAAGUCAGAAGGAAGGAGCUAUUACUGGUGGUCCUGCUUUUAUUGAAGCUGUUGGUGAAAACAUUCUUGAUGCUACCGUCUCCGAAAAUCUUCCCGGUAUGGUCUAUUGGUUUGGUUUAGUAUAUAUAGUGUACUUUUCGAAUUUUGAUGCAGCAUCUAGUGCACAAGACAAACAAAACUAGAGGUCUGGUUUUGAUCAGAAUUUUUCGGUUUAUAAAUAAUAGUAACCAAAGUAGAACCUAUUCUAGUGUCCAUGGUCUGGUGGAAUGGUUUUGGUUUUGGUUUGGUUUCGGUUUUGAAUCAGAUUUAUCUAUAAUUUUCAAGUAGAAGUUUGGGAUUGGCUUUCCAUUUUCUCUUUGCUUUGGUUUGGUUUGGUUUGGUCUUAGUUUUUUUUUUUGUCUUUUGCAUACAGAGAAAAUGGAGCCAUCUAAUUUUAACAUUUUCUUUUAUAUAUCCAAUCUUUAUUUUGCAUAUUAAGUUGAAACCAUCUUUUUUUAACAAAAUUAGUUUCCAAAACAUUAAAAUUUUAAGAGACCAACAUAAUUUUUCAGCAGUAAUGUUAGAAAUCAACUAUGUUAAGUUUUGAGUUGGGAUUGAUUAGUUUUUGAAUGUAUGAUGGUGCAGUACUAGCAACGGACGAAAAAUACAAUGAGGCGGUAUAUAGCAGUGCAAAACGGUUGGUUGCAGCUAUAGACGGUCUACCAGAUCCCGGUGGUCCAACAGUAAAGGAUAGCAAGAGAGAAUCAAAUUUCAAGACGAAACAAGAAACCGACGAGA
rnacentral:lncRNA from 1 species